UGAGGUUUCAUCUACCGAAAACAUGUGCUAUCACAACCAUUGGGAUAAAUGCCAUCCUGAUCAAAAUGGAAUGUGUCGAGAUAGCUGUGUGGAAGACGGAUGGGAUGAUGGACAAUGCCGGAACCGGUUUAAAAGACUAAUGGGUGCCAAGUGCGAAUGCUACCCUAAGACUUGCAAUCAUUAGGGUGGCAACAUGCGACUUUCUUCUACCAAGUUACUACUAUUUAUAAAUUUACAUCGGUUUUAAUGAUUGACGUCAAACAUGUUGUAACACCAAUCAUGGUGAAUACUAUAUCACCUUCUAUUUAUUUCUUUAUUCCAAACCAUUGUAUUCAAAAUUAUGAUGUUACACAAUUAUACCUAAUUACUGUUUGAUGUAUCCUUAAACUAAAUAGAUUUUUGAGAGCUUAUUAGCAACAAUUGAUAUUUCACUCGCAUGCAUCAUCCUAGUAAGAAAUCAUGUGUUUAUUUACUAGGUUUGGUAAUCAAUGUGAAUAAAUUAAUGAGCCUUGAUGAAAAUUUACGAUAUACCCUAAAUAGUGUGGUAAAGAAUCACACAUAAGUUCCAUCUUUUGUCAGAUCAAAGUGGGAUGAGACCUCAAAUGUAUUGCUAAGAACACCUCAUAGUUGUAUCCUUAAUCUUAAUGUACUGAGCAUGCCCCAUGUUGCUUCAGGAAGCCCCAUAAAUGAUGCUAGACAUCACCUCGGGUGUCUUUCAUAUUUAUACUAGACAUGCAUCAUAUUAAAUCUCAUUGAUUCCCAAAAGAUUCAAUCUAAUAUAGAUAAAAUCAUAGCAUGAGCAAGAUUCAAUCCAACAAAAAGAAGCUCAAAAUAAGAGGUGAUACCUCAUAGAUGUCUAGGAUCUUUGAAUAUAUUGAGGUGACACCUAUAUAGUGCAUGAACAACUUUGAAUACCAUCCGUUGAAUUACCUCCGUCCAACGACUGAUAGGAGGCAAAUCCAAGCAUCCGCGUCCAAUGGAUUAACUAAUUGGUUGCACCAGAUUGUGCCACCUUGCAUCUCUAGACAUCUCUAUCUUGCCAGUCGUAUGAGGUGGUUAUGUGGUCUGGCGUGAAUGAAUCGAAGUUGUAGUAGUAUCAUGUUGCUAUGUGCUUCUCUAGAAAUCUGUAUCUUGCCAGUUCUGGUAGUAUCAAUAGUUGGGUUGCCCGGCUCCUGUGCUUGCCUCUAACGCUCAGGACCCAUUCGGCUAAGAGUGUAAAGGUAGAACCACUGCGACUGUGCCGACAUUUCAAAUGUUUCAGCGGCUCAGUGGAGAAAGCCGAAAACUAACUGUCCUUGUAAGCGUAAAUUACUCGGCAAUGCGAAGACAGUGUGAAACAAAGGUUUAUUGGAGAUAAUCCAUUAAAAAUGAGGGGCUUUUAUUCAAAUAGGCCGAAGUGAAUAGCGGGUUAAACCCUGACCAGUUGCUGAACACUUCACACAUCAGGGGCUAUUCACUAGUACCCACAGUUAAGAUCUUAAAGACUAAGUGAAAGCUAUGAAACCAAAAUAGUCUGAUUACCUCGUUUCAUAUGCGUGGACCGCCUUUGGGAACCAAGACAUCGGCUAAGGGUUGAAACUGCACCUGAAACACCCUUUGUAUCCUGUGCUUGCCUCUAAAGACAAUUCGAUCACACAAGAGUAAAAAUAUAAGGGCAAAUAAAUAUAUACGCUCAUACAUUGGAACAUAAAGCCACAUUUAUUACCAAACAAAAAGCAUGUCUUUACAUCGCUCUAACUUUGUCAUUCCGAAGUAUAAUGUGUCCUUGGGACACCGCUCCUCAGUGAUCUGAGCUCCCUCCAUCACCCCAAUCAAGUACUACUCCACGGUCUGAUUCUUCCCUUCAGGGGCCCGAGGCCAUGAGCGUCGCAUCAAUAUGCCGAUAGUGUGUCGCCAUGCAAGCAUACGCCCAUUGGACGUCCUCCGGCGAUUCACCUGAGGGCCGACCUCGCAGGCGGGCCAGUAGACCGAAGAAGCUGCUAGGCAGCGCUGCCGCGGGCCAGAGCUGGACGCAGAGAUCUUGUAGUGCCGGCUUCGCCAUCCGGAAAAGCUCCAUGAGUAGCUGCAUUUGGUUAUUGAGCAGCUCUGGGUAUGAUGGUGCCUGGAACAGAUUCUAGAACGCCUUCUCUGUGGCAUGGACCUCUUGAGCACUGAAGUAGCGGCCGGCGUCUGAAGCACUCCUCGUGAGGUCCCCGAAAGCCUUUGCGAAUCGCCGUACUUGGGUGAGCUCGAUGAACCCCUUGCGGCAAAAAUACACUUAUGCAAAAAACGGCUUACCAGCAACAAUUUGCUUCACUUGCUGAAGCACUUCGUGGUCUGCCCGGGCCUGGGUCUGGACCUUAGCGUAUGCCAGGCUCAGGUUCUUGAGCUCCAUCGUUGCCUUCUUCUUCUCCUCUUCCUGAAAGGCGUUGCGAUCAAGGUACAUGCCUUUCAGGGUGUCCUUGACCUCGACGACCCGGACCUGGUCCUUUCCCUGAGUUACCCUUUCAUUGGCUAGCUCCUUCUCGGCCCGAGUGGCUGCAGCCUUUGCUGCUAUGCCCCCCGCCGAGCUCUACUUAGCUCAACCUUAAGAGCCUCAAGCUCUGUCACCGCGGCUAUCAAAACCAAAGGCUCAGGUAUUAGCAUUAUAUCAUAAAACAAUAUGCAAAGUAAAUUUGAUAGCAUGGUGCUUUUUUAGCCUACCUUGAGCCUGCUUAUUGUAGUUUUGUCACGGCAAGAUGUCCUUGUGAAAUGACUUAGUGGUGAGGCCACUGCACCUAGGUGGUAGCUUGAACGGGGUUGGAUGGAAUCGAGAGACGCAAGUUUUACCCAGGUUCGGCCCCUCGCGAUGUUGGAAAAAGCCUACAUCCUGCUUAAUUGAUAUUGAUGAUGGUGAUGAUCUUGAUUACAAUGGUGCUAUUUUGCUACCUCUCAUCUGAGAGAAUCUACUUUGAUCUUUUCUAAUACUUGUUUGUCUCCCCCCUUUGGGGUGCGUUGCCCCUCCUUAUAUAAGUUGAAGGGGUGCCUUCAUGUAGAUUCCUAGUAGGAUUACUACUAGUUUCCUUUCUAUUUCAAGCCGGAGUCUAGUCCAGGUCUUCUCCUGGCAAGGUUCGUCGGCCGGGUCGUGAUCUUCCUGGCUGGGUUUACCCAGUCUGGACCUUCUCCAUGAGCCGGCCUCCAGCCUCUUCGCGAGCUGGCUUUCUACUGGGUUGCACACUGGGCCUUUAGUCCUUGUCUUCCAUGUCGACCCAUUAAGCCAGGUGACUCAUUGGCCGCCAAGUGAUGGGUUGGGUUACACCUCCUGGCCAGGUCAAACCAUGGGGAAUUUCCCCAACAUUAGCCCUAGUUUAAUUUGGAUUUAUCCAUGUUAAACUUAUCUUGAAAAAUAACACAAGAACAAAUUUGAUAGGUUAUGCGUCGGGUUGAGGGUUCUUCUGAACCAACGUAUGUUCAUCCUAUAGUCCUUGUCAUUUCCUUCUUUGAAGACACCCGACCUAGUCAAUCUUUGUCAGGUCGUGCAAAUUUUCCACACAUAGAAAUUAUUGAAUUACUCCAUAUCGUGACAUCAUCUUAGCCACCUUGAUACGUGUCCAUGAUCUCAUAACUAAUCUUUUUUAGCAGAUAUGUCAAACUUUUCCAAUGCAAAAAUCCAAGAGCUUUAUUCAAUGGAAUUCCUCUUGGCAAGUCCGGGUCUCCUUGUUACAUCAAUGGGACGGCUUCAAAAUCAACUAUAUGACGUUGUUUUCUUGCAAAAAAAUAUUGGGGAAAAAUAAUCCAUUUGAGUCGGGUUCCAAUGCUCUGGUUCCACAAAAAUAUUGGACUUAAGAUAUCCUUAUGAUACUGAGCCGGCUUUGAAUACGUCGGCUUGAUAAAAAAAUUGGACUUAAGAUAUUCGUCUGAUGUUCAGUCAGCUUGAGGAUGUAGAGCUUGCCGAGUUGCGAUCCUCGAAGUUGCCGAGUUACAAAGAUUGAUGAUGUCGGUCAUGAUUGUUGCUGGCACUGGGUCAUGAUUGUUGCUGACACUAGUUCGUGUAAUUUGUUGUCCUUGGCUUCUUUAGACCAAGUCCUUAUAGGAAGGAUCCUCCCAGGUUGGGUUUUCCUAGCCCGGGUCAAUCUGAAUUUUCUUUCAACUCCAAUAUAUGUAUCAACUGUAACCCCAAGCUUGAGUUUAUCACCUUGUGAUGACUUGGUGCUUGCUUUUGUAAUUAUAGCUUCAAAUAGCUGAGUCGGUUUUCCGGGCCUUUCUAUGAAUACCUUGGAGGAGAUAAACUUUGUAAAUUUCUCAACAAAGAAUAUGAUACCCGGUUUGCUCAAAACUGAGAACUUGAAGGUGUACCUCCCUUAUAUCCAUAUUACAUGUAGCCCCCAAGUUUUAAGUGGGGAACGUAGUGACAGCUUAAGACUUGCUUCAAUAUAAAUGUUGCAACUUUGGAGAAAUCUGGGUUGUUCAUCUUAGUCACUAGUCAUAAACUGAAUGUUUUGCAUUUUAUAAACGAGCAAGACAGAUGAGGGAAGACGCCACUCAAUCGGGGCGAUCAGCUCUAUAUUUAUAUCACGAUUACAUGGAGCCUUGGAAGCCAACGAACAUACCUCCUCAUAUCAAUCUACAAGCGAGUAUAAUUAGGAAUAUACGGAGGUAGGAUGUAGCUAUACAAGGUAUGUACUUUAACAUCCCCCCGCAAUCAAUGCGUCAGAUGGACGGACGCAUAGAAUGUACCGAAAGUCCAUGAAUAGCUGGACGGUAGACCCUUUGUCAUAAUAUCAGGAAACUGGUGCGAAGAUGGCACAUGAAGAACCCGAGUCAGACCGAGAGACACCUUUCCGUGAACAAAAUGUAUUUCAAUCUCGAUGUGCUUCAUACGACGAUGUUGAACCGGGUUGCAAGACAUGUAGACAGCGCUGACAUUGUCACAAAAUACGAGAGUGGUGGUAUGGAGGGGGCGAUGAAGCUCAUGAAGAAGUUGACAAAAGCCAAGAACAUUCAGCCACAACGUGAGCCACGACAUGAUAGUUGGCUUCAUCACUGGAGCGAGAGACUGUAGCCUGGCAUUUGGGGACUAGGACAAAGGUUGUCACCGAGAUAUACACAAUAACCGGAAGUGGACCAGCGAGUAUCAGGGCAGCCAGCCCAAUCAGCGUCCGAGUACGCGAUGACACUACAAAAAAAUACACUUCCAUGAUGAUAUGUGUUUGUCACAGUAGGUCACGUGUUCUUUCAUGCAUGUACAUCCAUGACGAUUUUAUGACAGAAUCAAGAGAGUCAUACAUGUGCUGUCGUAGAAAUGUUCCAUGACAUUACCAAAAUUACGAUAAAUCGCGCGUCAUAAAAGUGCUUUCGUCAAGGGUGAUCGACACGUGGCAUCCACCGUAACGAGUCACCGUUAAGCUAUCGGGUUCUGGUUUGGAUCCGAUAAGCCCUUAACAGCCCCGACCAAUGGGGAUUUUCUAUGUGUGAAAUUCCCAUUCGUCGGAUAAUGCACGUGUCAGCUCAUCGUUGGGACAGAUGUCAUCCCUACAAUGGACGGAAGACGCUUAUGGUAUGUCAACAUGUGGCACAGCCCAACAGUGGCCCAUUUCAGGUAAAAAGGCCGGCCUAGCUAAAGGCCCGCCAUAUUUUUUCAGACACAAGUGGUCUGGCCCAUUAACAGCCUGCCAUGUUUUGGGUCAAAUUGAGGCCCAUAUCAGAUCAGGCCCGUUCAUAGCCUGUCGUGUUUUGGGCCAAAUUAUGACCCAUAUUGUAUUAGGCCUUGUCGGUGUCAAAACCGGCGGAUCUCGGGUAGGGGGUCCCGAACUGUGCGUCUAGGCCGGAUGGUUACAGGAGACAGGGGACACUUUGUUUUACCCAGGUUCGGGCCCUCUCGAUGGAGGUAAUACCCUACUCCUGCUUGAUUAAUAUUGAUGAUAUGGGUAGUACAAGAGUAGAUCUACCAUGAGAUCAAGGAGGCUAAACCCUAGAAGCUAGCCUAUGGUAUGAUUGUUGUGUAUGGAGUUGAUUCUAUUGAUUAGCCUGGCCUCGGUUUAUAUAAUGCUCCGGAGGCCUAGGAUAACAAGAGUCCUAGCCGAAUACACCGGUGGGGAGAAGUCCUUGUCUUGAUCGCCAUGUCUUGUGGAAUCUUCCUUGUAUGCGGCAGCCGUCCGAACUGGCCCAUGAGUAUAAGGCCACGGGGGUCCUCGGCCCAAUCUAAUAGAUCGGGAGACGACGUGGUGAGUACCCCCUAGUCCAGGACACCGUCAGUAGCCCCCUGAACCGGUCUUCAAGUUAGGGACGCUCCUCGAUUCUUCCAAACUGUUCUUCAUCUUCGGUUGCCGGUCUUGAAAACUAGUUCAACAAAUCUUCUUUAUCUUCAAUCUUGAGGAUUGCCGAAAUGCAUUCGACGAGUUUACACGUCGGGUAUCCGAGGAGCCCCUUUAAGUUUCUGGCCUUUAUCAAUGCCUUGUUUAUUUUUAUGCCACACCUCGGGUUUGAAGUUGUUCCCGGGAGGCAGUGUCCUCUUGCGUCCGAGCUCUAACGCUGGACUGCAUUCGAGGUAUCUUUUGCGGCCGAGCACCAAUGUCGGACCGCUUCCGAGCUCCAACGCCGGAAUGUAUCCGAGCUCCAACGCCGGACUAUGUCCAAGCUCCAACGCCGGACUGUAUCCGAGCUCCAACGCCGGACUAUAUCCGAGCUCCAACACCGGACAGUGUCCCAGCUCCAACGCCGGACUAUAUCCGAGGUGUCAUAUCACCUUGGUUCAAAAAAUUUGAAGGAUUUUAGCCGAGCUUAAUGCCGGAAAUGCCCUCUAUGGAGCCAGCCACUAGCGCCCGAGCUUUAUGCCGGGCUGCUUCCGAGGUGGUGCACCACCCCGACUAUGGGCCGAUUUUUUCUCAAUAUUUUUUAUUGGUACAAUUUAUUCUCUGUCGAGAUAUAUAGCCAGUAGCUCUCAAGGUGUGUAUCGGUCUAAAACCCGAGAUGCACCUGAAGGAUGACAUAAGACCGCUGAUCCCAGUAGCAGCUGAGACUCAUGUUGAUUUGCAAAUUCGGCCUGAGGAUCAAGUCCAAGCUCGGCAGAAUACUUCGGGACACUAAAAGCUGAGUGCUCAGUCCUCGAGACUCAGGUUGGGUGCGGCCGACCAACCUGAGUUUCAAAAUCUCCUCGGAAACUAUAUUGCACAUAAAAUUUUCUGCAUUGGACAAGCAAUGCAGUAGCCCCCGAGACAGUGGUCGGGUGGCAACACCAGAUCAGGGGAUCAAUGUGCCCCUUUAAUAUUUGUAAAUAAUAAGCCCGAAGCCCAGUAGCCCCCGAGCCUUAAUGCGGGCACGGGUGGCCGAAUUAAGGAUCAAUAUCCACAGUAAAAUUACAAAUUAUGUGUAAUGACUCUAUGUAUCCAAGUACUUUACGUCAUUAAUGCUCGGAUCCGCAUUGUACAAAACUUUGUUGACCGAUCAUCGACUUCCACCUCCUUGGCCAGUAGCCGAGGAGUGUUUGUCCUACUUUAUAAAGCCUUUAUGAGGGCAAAGAUUUACAACAAACAAGGCAAUCUGGCCAUACAGUUUUAUAAACAAAGGUACGCAGAGACUUAUAUCACUAUUUAACAGAAGAAAUGUCUUCCAAAGAAAAUAGUCCCGCUAUCGGUUCCUUUCUUUGGGUUGUCAUGCUAAGCAUGAUCAUUAAACCUCAGCUCUAAUGUAAGAGCAAAAUAUUGAGGAUUUAGUUUGGGAGGCCAGUUAAUAGCCCCGUUAGUGUUCGGCGACAGUCGGGGCCAAGCCGUAAACACUUCAGCCAAUGUUAUGAAUGGCCCAUCAUUUAACAUAGUCAUCGGAUCGCUGACCAGUUUACGCUUAUUGUGAAAGUCAGUUUUCGGCUUUCUCCACUGAGGUGCUUAACCAUGUGAACUGGAAGCACAAUCGCAGUGGUUCUCCCUUUGCAUGCCUAGCCGAACAAAACGGAACAUAGGAAGCAAGUACAGGAGCCGGGCAACCCAACUAUUGACCGAAGACACAAUUCGAAACCGAUGUAUAUAUAGCAAUAUCUGAGAAUGUUUUUGCCGAAUACCUAAAGGUGUCCGGCGUUGCACUGCGAGACUAAUGCUGGAAUAGCACAAAUAGUUUAAAAGUGCCAAAAAGCUUGGAAAACCAAGAAACGUCUGUAAAAACAUGACGUCCGAACAAUAUCAAGUGUUCGGUGCCAAUCCGAAAGUUGGUCUUAGAAAAAAGAAGUGCUUCUGUCGUGCUUUAACAUGAUACAUCCUAUCUCAAGACUUCGAGCGGGUCAGCCUACGGCUUCAACCUCCUAUCUGGAGGGCGGAGUACCUCUCAUCAGGCUAAUUUAGCAAACUAAACUCUAGCGGCUAUGAGAGAGAAAUUAGGCUCCCCGGCUAGUGACCGCACACUCGUGUCGAAAAAAGGAGUGAUAAAUAAUAAUAAAACUUUGCAAUGACUAAGAAGAAGAACACUUAUUAUAAAAUGGCUUAAAUAAACUUAAGAGCCCCCAAGUGACUUGGGUAGAAGAAUGAUUGCAUGUACCGAAGUACUUAUAUCAUAUCUAUGUUCAACCGAACUUUAAACGCGUCUUAACCGACCGUCAGCUUCUCCCUCUUCGGUCAAGGACCGAAAAGUUUUAUGUACUCCAUCGGUCGAGAAUAUCGACGGUGUUUCCAAUAACCAGGCAAUCAGGCCAUAAGGCUGUAACAGACAAAGCGCGCUCAGGGAACUUAUGCUAUAUUACCGUGAAGUGUAAGAAGCAUCUUCGAAGAAAAUAGUACCCCCACCGAUACCUUUCUUCGGUGCUCAUUGUUAUUAUGAGACUUGUGCAAUAGAUUUUUUGUACUCAUGAGUUCCGUUGUGUGUCGACCAUCAUUGAAUAACUAUGAGAGCGCUAGCUUUCGGCUUCACCCAGUCUGAGGUCCGGCUCGGGUGACCCGAUCGUGACAAUCGCAGAGGUGCUCCCUUUACUCCCUAGCCGAACAAUCGGGAACGUAGGGGUAAACACAGGAGCAAGGCAACCCAACUUGCAAAUCGCUUAAGUCAAUAUGGUGCAUAUUGUGGAAUAAUACAAGAACAAGGAAUGAAGCCGUACAAGUAUAACCAUAUGCAAUAGGAAAAGCUUCAUAAAGGAAGCCCCCAAGUAAACGGGGUAUUUGAAUUUAUGCGUCACAAGCAAAGUUUGGACAAGGAAAUUUUUUAGAAGCAACUUUUUUCCAAAAAAGUAUAAUGCUUGGUCGAACCGAACGCAAGUUAGAAAUUAAAGCUUUGAGCAUGAAAGCGACUUAGCUGGUUAAUGUGCUCGGAAAUGAUGACGCGGUCCGAGCUUGAUGCGGGGCAAGGUUUCAUCCCUCAAGCCGGUCCCGAGGUGGCGGAGCGGAGAGCUUGACACGCCGAAGUGGUGACAUAGCACGAUCAAUGCAGACCGGCAGAGUGACGCCGAAGUCACCGGAUCAUUUUCCUGUGCACAAAAAAUAGUGCAAACCAGAGAUAAUAGUAAUAAUGAUAAUUAAAAAAUCGUUGCAUAAUAAAUAAUUUAUGCAAAGUGAGUAAUAAAAGAAAUAUGGCCUAGCGCCGAAGUCAAUGUCGAUGCAGGGCGUCGGCGUGAUGCGGUAAAGGCGUGGCAAAGCCUGAAUUCACAGGUCGGUCCGAGCUCCAGAUGCGGCAUUCACCGAACUAUGUACGGAAACUGACCGAACCACCAUGCGACUGUCGUUAAUGCGGUGACCAUUUGGUAGACCUGUGUACAUAUGAUGGACAAACCAAAGUAAUAAUUCCUUGGGAAAAAUGAACCCAAACAAGCAAAAAAUACUGGGAUUGAUAGCACCUGGUUUAUUUGUUGUAGCAAUCAGAAGGAAGGUGAUUCCCAAAAUUGGGACUUGCUCGGCACACCCAUUGCCUGAUGGGCGAUAAAACGACGGCAUGGCAAUGCUGGUAAAGGUUGGCUCGCCGAGGCAAAGACCUCGGCCCAGCUAACGUGACGGAGCUGGUUGGCUAGGGACGCCGAAGUGUCCGGAGUAGGUUGAUGAAGAGAUGGCGAAGCGCCCGGUCCAGCCGAGAUGUCGAAGCCUCGAUGUCAGCCGAUGAGUCGAAGUAGGUCGGCGUGAUGGACACCAGCUUGAAGAAGCAAUAGUGCGGCCCUGUCGAUGCAGGUCAUGACGUGGUCGAUGCCGGCUUUAUGAAGCGAUCAUGCGGCGAUGCCGGUAUGCCCGCUCCGUGUAAUCCGUGGGGCGGCGAUGUUGGUGAUGAUUUAUCCUUUGCGAUGCCGGGCUCUUGUUCGGCUUGCCGAGAUGAUGAUCCGAAGAAGUUGAGCCCGGCUCAACAAAGUGACGCCAUGUCUAGCGCAGGUCGGCAGCCGUGGAGUAAUAUUGCCGGACUGGUUUGACACCAGCAUGAUGUUGAAGAUCAUGUUCAAAAGAUUUUACAGUUAGUGGGAUGUGUUCGGGAACAAAACUCAAUACCCCAUACAAAACUUUCUUCAAAAGGGAUGUCCGAAAUCCUGUUCAUAGAAAAGAUGAACUCGGGUCGGAUUCGUUUUCACGCAGAAAACAGAUCCGAAAAGUGAUGCACUAAUCGGAAGGUUCGCGAAGUUUGGACGGUCGGAUCGAGCCGAAAUUUUGAGAGGUGGUAGAUAUAGGAAUUCCACAGCCGAUCAACGGUUGGAUCUUACAAAGGAAGUCCGAGCUAGAAGCUGGACACCACGCCCUAAACUCAUCCAAAUUCCCGUCCAGAUUUGACAGGGCUCCGGUAUAUCAUGGAUUGCCAGAGAUUCCUCCAUCGGAACUCGACGAAAUUUUCCAGAGUUGUUGUAGACUCAAUUCCGCACAAUUCCACCAAAGCGAUCAUCAAAGCAAUACUCGAGGAGGUGGUGGUGGCAGAUACGAGUUCGCUGUCCAGAAAAACAGCACGGUCGCUUGAGGGCAAUGUUGACGUUGAGCCCCCGAGCUCCAUAGAUGAUUCCUCCGUGAUCUUGAUAGAGAUCAGAGUUGAUGUUUGAUGAAGGCCCUUGUCCAUACAUUGUGAUACGAACACGGGGCGCAAUUCUUGGUCGAACCAAGGUGACCAGUCGAGCUGGUGAUGAAGAUGCCGAUGUCGCAGUUGAUCUGCAUGCGAGCCAUCGAUCCUUUUGUCGAUCACACAGCGGAACUCUAAAUGAAAGCACCAAUGUUGGUGUCAAAACUGGCGGAUCUCAGGUAGGGGGUCCCGAACUGUGCGUCUAGGCCGGAUGGUAACAGAAGACAUGGGACACUUUGUUUUACCCAGGUUCGGGCCCUCUCGAUGGAGAUAAUACCCUACUCCUGCUUGAUUAAUGUUGAUGAUAUGGGUAGUACAAGAGUAUAUCUACUACGAGAUCAAGGAGGCUAAACCCUAGAAGCUAGCCUAUGGUAUGAUUGUUGUGUAUGGAGUUGAUUCUAUCGACUAGCCUGGCCUCGGUUUAUAUAAUGCACCGGAGGCCUAGGAUAACAAGAGUCCUUGCCGAAUACGCCGGUGGGGAGAAGUCCUUGUCUUGAUCGCCAAGUCUUGUGGAAUUUUCCUUGUAUGCGGCAGCCGUCCGAACUGGCCCAUGAGUAUACGGCCACGGGGGUCCUUGGCCCAAUCUAAUAGAUCGGGAGACGACGUGGUGGGUACCCCCUAGUCCAGGACACCGUCAGGCCUAUUAAUAGGCCACUAUUCUUUUGGGCCCAUUCUAAGCCAAGUUUGUAUUUCAGCCUGUUAAAUGCCCGUUUACCAAUUUGGCCCGAUAAUAGUUUCAGCCUGUUAGCAGCCCGUGGUGCAUCUCACACGUUGUCGACCCGUUUUAACUUUAGGCCAUUUAACGGCCCAUGCAGAAACUGGGCUGUUUCUUGUCCGAACUAACUUUAGGCCUCUUAACGGCCCGUAGUGUUUGUGGAUAAAUUUCAGCCCAACUGGGCUAUCAGCCUGUUAAUGGCUCGUGUAACAGUUGGGCCUAAUUACAACCCGCGUUGAAUCCGGCCUGCUUACAACCCAUCUGAUAAUGGCCCUUGAUACUGUUGGGCCUAUGGCCCAUGUUGAUACCAGCCUACUUAAAGCCCAUAAUUUUAUUGGGCCAAACAGGGCCCUAGAUAUAUUUUGGCCUGUUAACAGCUCGUCCUAUUUGGGCGAAACAUGCGCCUUAGGCAGUUUCAGACUGUAUUGGCCUGCGAAUUUUUUGGCUCAACGCUAGCCCAUUCUAGAUUUUAGCCUGUUAAAAGCCCAUGGAAUUCUCUAGCCCAGCUAGCCAAAACUUUACUCGGCCUGUUAAAGGCGGAAAACUACAAUACAUUUAGACCUGCUAAUGGCCCAAGAUGAUUAUAGGCCCAUGUUUUGGCCCAUAUGAGUAACGGGCCGGCCUGAAGACCGACCACAUUGAGAUCCAUUGAACCUUCCGGCAUAAAUUACAGCAUACCGACCAAGAAUAAAUCUAAACUACGCAAUAGACAAAUUACAACAUAUUACAUCCACUAGGCAUCAAAGUUCGCCACCAGUGAUAAUAAAGCGCAACGUGACCACAUAUUACAUACACUGGGCAUCAUAGGUCGCCACCAGUGUAUAUAAAUGCACCAACAAAAGAAUAUAAAAAACAAAGAGCACUUCAGAAAGCAUUAGGCCUGGCCAGGACGGGCACCGCAAGCAACCAAACAAGAUGAUGAGACCUCAAUUGUGUCAACAAUAGAUGCUCUAUCCUUAGUUGUAUAGCACCAAAGCACGCAAGGCAGUCCUCUAAGAUCAUCGUUGCAUCAUUGACAUCAAGUCGAUGCUGAGCAGAAGCCCUUGCCCAUGUCGAUGGAAGGAUAAUUCAAUAAAUUUUCCAAAGAAACAUCUUUAUAAGCGUUUCCAUUAUUCUACAUUUUGGAAAGAGUAAAUAUAGAUCAAAUAAUAUUGGAAGAAAUAGAGGAUAAUGAUGCUCAGGUGCAGAGUGAUGAUACAUAAUCAAAUAGCAAUUAAUUAAGUACAACGUUACAAGGGAAAAGGUACUGACAAGAGGAAUGCAGACAUCAACAUGUGCAGUAGCAUUGGCUUUAUUCAACAUUUUGGUAAGAGUAAAUGUAGAUCUGAUAAUUUGGAGAAAGUGGAGGGCAGGGCAAAUAAGAUGUAGAGUAAUGCUAGACAAUCAACUAUCUCGCAAUGCAACUACAGUAAUACCACUGCCAUCCGUUAUUACUUGUAGCUCAAAUGGCUGUAUCUAGCACUAUUAAGUUCUAAAUACAUCCAAUUGAUCAACAAUUAAUUCGAUACAGAGGGAGUACAUGACAACAGGUACUUACAUGAGCAAUCCAAAACUUCAUAACCAUUGUUUUAAUUCUACAUUUAUCUAAUAGUAAAUAUAGAUCUUAUAAUUUCGAGCAAAGGGAGGAUAAAGAAGUGAACAUUUACAAUGAUGCUACAUAAUCAAACAACAAUGAGUGUAAGUAUGGUGACAAAGGGCAAGAGGUACUGACAAGAGCAAUGCAGUGCACGGUACUGUUGUCAGAUCCUAUGAUCCUUUGAGCAAGGAGAUUCAUCUGAAAUUAGUUUUCAUACAAGAGAGAAGGUAAGGCACAUGUAGAAAUUUAGGAGUUCAAAUUUUGAUUUGAUAUCAUAGACAAUACCUGAUGCUGGGCUCCCUUUAGUUCUAAUAGGGGUUUGUCUAGUGGAGUAGGGGUAAAGUGUGGUACAGUUGGGCCUGUGUUUUCUGUGGCUGCUGAUCUAUCUGAUUUAGCAGGUAUCACUACCUUUUUCCAAAUACCUAGUUUGUACUCCUUGAGGAUCUGCACUCACCCUCUUCCUUUUUGACAUCUAUUAUGAAAUAACAACAUUUGACUGGAAAAAUAUAGUAUGAUGACACAUGCAUGGAAUAGGUACAGAAAAUGGAUAGGUAUGGCAUAUACUCGUAUAUGAUGCUUAAACUAAGCAGAUGGUGGUGUAACAAAGUAGAAGUAGUGCAAGAGGUCAUAUGCAAAAUAUGUGUGACCAAUACAACUUUGCCAAGUUAGAGCAAGCACCUUGAUGGGUGAAUAAGAUAGGCCAUCCUCCACCAUGCCAAGUUUGUUAGCCAGUGGAUUGUUCUGCAAUAUUCUUCUCGUGCGCCCAUUCUCAUAUUCAUUUCGAUCAUGUUCAAUACCUGACAUGCAUGAAAACAUAAAAACAAGUGAGAUUAUCUUUGUAAUGGAGAAGUGAUUCUAAUCCAGCACUGCCUCCCUAUAAACCCCUUUGUGCUAUCUCUGCAAUUCUUCUGAGAGAUUACAUGCAUGUUGUAAUUUGGUUUGUGCAUUAAUAUAAUGUGGCCUACUACUCAAAAUAUGAGAGCUCCAGAAGUGAUGAUACUUCGCAUAUGACAGCUUCAACAUAUAGUAAAGAAGAACAAGUCGACCUGACCUGACAGAUUCAAAAUAUACUAAGGGAGAACAACUCGACCUGUCCAGUUGACCGCAAAUGUCUCUACUACUCUUCCCAACAAGUAACAUACUUAUUAAAGAAGAGUAGAGGAUCAUGUUAAAGAAGAGCACAACAACAAGCAUAUUGAAGAUAUUACAAGUCUUUCUAUACAAUGUCUGUUGCCCACCCAUGAUGAACCAGAGCGCACAGAGAAAUACUAUUCCUUCAGGUCUCUCCAUAUGAGGCUCACGUGCAGUUCGAAAUUGAAGUAAGAACAUUUAGCUGACCAAUUAAACAUGUCCCAGUUUUACUAAUAUCAGCAUAAUAUCACAUUCGAAUUUUUACAACUAAGCUUGUUUAGCUCGAUGGAUGGAACAGUGCUAUUACGACACGAACCACGUAGGCUCAUCGUGGUCAACAUAAAAUGGAGAAACCGAAACAUGAUGUGUAUAGUGUUGACGUGGCAGUGGGAUGCCAGAUCUGAAGCUCCAAACCGCGCAAAGGGUAGUUAGCAACUGAUGUUUGCUUUAAAAUAAUAACUAAGAUUUGGUAUGGACAAGAAAGUACAGUCAACAAGUGACAAAGAAAUGCAAUUCUAUUUUCUCUCUAUAUGUCGUGACAUGCAUUUGGAAACUCAAGUGGGACCUUUAGCUAGCCAAUUAAAUGUGUAUGUUAACUAAUAUCAGGAUCAUAUCACAAUCAUAUCUGAACAACUAAGCUUUGGGAUUAUGAUUGUUGUGUUGUUUAGCUUGAAGGGUGGAGUACUGCUAGUACGACAAAAAGCACCUACGCAGAUCAUAGUAGAUUAUAUAAAAGGGGAAAACCCUAAGCAUCAACAGUAAAAUCAGGAAAGUGGAACUAGCUGGACUAUAUGGGCUUGUAUUGCCGGUAUGACAAGAAAGGGUUCGGAAAGGCUUCGGCCCUCAAAGAGGCAGCUCUAUUGAACUGAAGGCACAAUAAUGUUACUAUUAGUCUAGACUAUCAAAGAUGACAUAGCUCCCAGCAUUUCCCGGAUAUUAUGGCAGACCAUCGAGAAUUGUUGUAAGCAUCCAUCUGAAGCUACCCAAUAGACCUGUCGACUGCAAAUGUCCCUGCUCCACUUCUGACAAGGAACAUAUUGUACUACUCCCUCCAUUCUUAAAUAUAAAUCUCUUAGAUAUUCGAAUGCGGACUACAUACAGAGCAAAAUGAGUGAAUGUAUACUCUAAAAUAUGUCUAUAUACAUCCGUAUGUAGUUCUUAUUGGAAUAUCUAAAAAGACUUAUAUUUUACGAAAAAGGCUUUCGCCCCGCUUUUUAAAUAAAGCAACAAUGAACAACACCUCGUGCAAACGCAUGCCACCACAACACACGCAUGCACCCAAGGCAGUUUAGGAACUGAGGAAGUAAUAUACUUAUUAAGAAGAACAGAAGAGGAACAUGAUAACAAAGAGCAAGCAGAUUUCUCUACUUUUUUCUCUACUCUUAUACUCUUAUCUCCAUCUCUCUAUCUCUACCCUCUACUCUUAUAAAAAGCAGAGUUGGUGAUGAUGGUGUGCCUGCCAUCCUGCAAUAUAGGCCGUCCGAUCUAUAUCUAACGGAUAGGAAGGAAACUAUGACAAUUUACCCACACUCCUCUCCACAUUUGCAGAUAAGGCCUUCCCUCGUUCAUCCUUUUCUCCCACAAGAUAAACUAUUCAUACAAAUGCAUCUUGAUGUUCCAUGCAACGCACAUGCAUCUUGCUAGUUAGAUAAUACAAUGUGUGUUGCCCACCCAUUAUGAACCCGAGCGCAUAGAGAAAUGCAAAUCCAUGUUGUCCCUCUAGAUGUGGCGCCAGUGGCAGAGCUACAUAAGAACAAAACAAUGCCAUGUCCUGCCCAGCUAACGGUGUCCUAGACUAGGGGGUACUCACCACGUCAUCUCCCGAUCUGUUAGAUUGGGCCGAGGACCCCCAUGGCCGUAUACUCAUGGGCCAGUUAGGACAGCUGCCGCAUACAAGGAAGAUUACACAAGACUUGGCAAUCAAGACAAGGACUCCUCCCCACCGGCGUAUUCGGCUAGGACUCUUGUUAUCCUAGGCCUCUCGUGCAUUAUAUAAACCGAGGCCAGGCUAGUCGAUAGAUCAUAUACAACAAUCAUACCAUCAGCUAGCUUCUAGGGUUUAGCCUCCUUGAUCUCGUGGUAGAUCUACUCUUGUACUACCCAUAUCAUCAAUAUUAAUCAAGCAGGAGUAGGGUUUUACCUCCAUCGAGAGGGCCCGAACCUGGGUAAAAACAUCGUGUCCCUUGUCUCCUAUUACCAUCCGCCUAGAUGCACAGUUCGGGACCCCCUACCCGAGAUCCGCCGGUUUUGACGCCGACAUUGGUUCUUUCAUUGAGAGUUCCACUGUGUGAUCGGCAAAAGGAUCGAUGGCUCGUCUGCAGGUCAACUGCGAUACCGGCAUCUUCGUCACCGGCUCAACUGGUCACCUUGGCUUGACCGAGGACCGUGCUCCAUCUCUAGCAAGAUUAUGGAGGAAUCAUCUAUGGAGCUCGGGGGCUCAACGUCAACAUUGCCCUCGGGUGACCGUGCUGUUUUUCCAAACAGCGAACUUGUAUCCGCUGCCACCACCUCUUAGAGCAUCGCUUUGAAGAUCCCUUUGCUGAAAUUGUGCAAAAUUGAGUCUAUAACGACCAUGCAAAAUUUCGUCGAGUUCCGAUGUCGGAAUCUCCGGCAAUCUAUAAUAUACCGGAUCCCUGUCAAAUCUGGACGGGAAUCUGGACGAGUUUAGGGUAUGGUGUCCAGCUUCUAGCUCGGACGUCCUGUGGAAGAUCCAAUCGUUGAUCGGCUGCAGAAUUACUACCUCUACCACCCCUCACAAUUUCAGCUCGAUCCGACCGUCCAAACUCUGGGAACCUUCCAAUUAGUGCAUCACUUUCGGAUCUGUUUUCUGCGCGAGAACGAAUCCGACCCGAAUUCAUCUUUUUUAUGAACGGGAUUUCGGACAUCCUUUUUGAAGGAAGUUUUGUAUGGGGUAUUGUGUUUUAUUCCCAAACACGUCCCGCUAAUUUUGAAGUCUUUUCCAAUAUGAUCUUCACCAUCACGCUGGUGUCAAACCAGCCCGGUAACGUUGUUCUACGGCUACCGAUCUGCACUAGACACGUUGUCACUUUAUUGAGCCGAGCUGAAUUUCUUCGGAUCAUCAUCUCUGCAAGCCGAACAAGACUUCGGCAUCGCGAAGGAUAAAUCAUCACCAACAUCGCUGCCCCACGGAUUACAUGGAGCGGGCACACGGGCAUCGACGCACGGUCACUUCAUCAAGCCGGCAUUGACCACGUCACGACCUGCAUCGGCAGGGCCGCACUAUUGCUUCUUCAAGCUGGUGUCCAUCACGCCGACUUACUUCGACUCAUUGGCUGACAUCGAGGGUUCGACAUCUCGGUUGGACCGGGGCCUUCGCCAUCUCUUCAUCAACCUACUCCGAACACUUCAGCGUCACUAGCCGACCAGCUCUCUCACGUUAGCUGGGCCGAGGGCUUUGCCUCGGUGAGCCAACCUUCGCCAGCAUUGCCAUGCCGUCGUUUUAUCGCCCAUCAGGCAAUGAUUGCGCGGAUCGAGUCCCAAUUUUGGGAAUCACCUUCCUUCGGAUUGCUACAACAAAUAAACCAGGUGCUAUUAAUCCCAGUAUUUUUUUCUUGUUUGGUUUCAUUUUUCCCAAGGAAUUAUUACUCUGGUUUGUCCAUCAUAUGUACACAGGUCUGUCAAAUGGUGGCCGCAUUAACGAGAGUCGCAUGGUGGUUCGGUCAGUUUCCGUACAUAGUCCAGCAAACGCCGCAUCCGGAGCUCGGACCGACCUGUGAAUUCAGGCUUUGCCACGCCUUUACCGCAUCACGCUGACGCCCUGCAUCGACAUUGACUUCGGCGCCAGGCCAUAUUUCUUUUAUUGCUCACUUUUCAUAAAUUAUUUAUUAUGCAACGAUUUUUUUAAUUAUCAUUAUUACUAUUAUCUCCGGUUUGCACUAUUUUUUGUGCAUAGGAAAAUGAUCCGGGGACUUCGGCGUCACUCUGCCGGUCUGCAUUGACCGUGCUAUGUCACCACUUCGGCGUGUCGAGCUCUCCGCACCGACACCUUGGGACCGGCUUGGGGGAUGGAACCUUGCCCCGCAUCAAGCUCGGACCCUGUCAUCAAUACCGAACACAUUAACCAGCUAAGUCGCUUUCAUGCUCAAAGCUUUAAUUUCUAACUUGUGUUUGGUUUGACCAAGCAUUAUACUUUUUUGGAAAAAAGUUGCUUGUAAAAAAUUUCCUUGUCCAAACUUUGUUUGUGACGCAUAAAUUCAAAUACCCAAUUCAUUUGGGGGCUUCCUUCAUGAAGCUUUUCCUCUUGCAUAUGAUUAUACUUUUACGGCUUCGUUCCUUGUUCGUGUAUUACGCCACAAUAUGCACCAUAUUGACUUAAGCGAUUUGCAAGCUGGGUUGCCUCGCUCCUGUGUUUACCCCUACAUUCCCGAUUGUUCGGCUAGGGAGUAAAGGGAGCACCUCUGCGAUUGUCACGAUCGGGUCACCCGAGCCGGACCUCAGACUGGGUGAAGCCGAAAGCUAGCACUCUUAUAGUUUUCAAUGAUGGUCGGCACACAACGGAACUCAUGAGUACAAAAAAUCUAUUGCACAAGUCUCAUAAUAACAAUGAGCACCGAAGAAAGGUAUCGGUGGGGGUACUAUUUUCUUCGAAGAUGCUUCUUACACUUCGCAGUAAUAUAGCAUAAGUUCCCUGAGCGCGCUUUGUCUGUUACAGCCUUAUGGCCUGAUUGCCUGGUUAUUGGAAACACCGUCGAUAUUCUCGACAGAUGGAGUACAUAACACUUUUCGGUCCUUGACCGAAGAGGGAGAAGCCGACGGUCGGUUAAGACGCGUUUAAUGUUCGGUUGAACAUAGAUAUGAUAUAAAUACUUCGGUGCAUGCAAUCAUUCUUUUACCCAAGUCACUUGGGGGCUCUUAAAUUUAUAUGAGACGUUUUAUGAGAAGUGUUCUUCUUCUUAGUCGUUGCAAAGUUUUAUUAUUAUUAUUAUUAUUAUUAUUAUUAUUAUUAUUAUUAUUAUUAUUAUUAUUAUUAUUAUUAUUAUUAUUAUUAUUAUCUAUCACUCCUUUUUUCGACACGAGCGUGUGGUCACUAGCCGGGGAGCCUAAUUUCUCUCUCAAAGCCGCUAUAGUUUAGUUUGCUAAACUGGCCUAAUGAGAAGUACUCCGCCCUCGGGAUAAGAGGUCGAAGCCGUAGGCUGACCCGCUUGAAGUCUUGAGAUAGGAUGUAUCAUGUUAAAGCACGACAGAAGCACUUCUUUUGCUAAGGCCAAGUUUUGGAUUGGCACCGAACACUUGAUCUUGUUCGGACGUCAAGUUUUUACUGACGUUUUUUGGUUUUCCAAGCUUAUGGCACUUUUAAACUAUUUGUGUGUUUUCAGCACAAGCCUCGCAGUGCAACGCCGGACACCUUUAGAGAUUCGGCAAAAACAUUCUCGAAUAUUGCUAUAUAUGCAUCGGUUUCGAAUUGUGUCUUCGGUCAAUAGUUGGGUUGCCCAGCUCCUGCGCUUGCCUCCUACAUUCCGCUUUGUUCGGCUAGAUGUGCAAAGGGAGAAGCACUGCGAUUGUGCUUCCAGCUCACAUGGUUAAGCACCUCAGUGGAGAAAGGCGAAAACUAACUGUCAAAAUAAGCGUAAACUGGUCAGCGAUCCGAUGACGGUGUUAAAUGACGGGCCAUUCAUAACAAUGGCCGAAGUGUUUUCGGCUUGACCUCGACUGUCGCCGAACACUACCGGGGGCUAUUAACUAGCCUCCCAAACUAAAUCCUCGAUAUUUUGCUCUUACAUUGGAGCUGAGGUUUCAUGAUCAUGCUUAGCAUGACAACCCAAAGAAAGGAACUGAUAGCGGGAUUAUUUUCUUUGGAAGACAUUUCUUCUGUUAAACAGUAAUAUAACAUAUCUCUCUGCGUACCUUUUUUUAUAAAACCGUGUCGCCAGAUUGCCUUGUUUGUCUUAAAUCUUUGCCCUCAUAAAGGAUUUAUAAAGUAGGACAAACACUCCUCGGCUACUGGCCGUGGAGGUGGAAGCCAAUGGUCGGUCAACAAAGUUUUGUACAAUGCGGAUCCGAGCAUCAAUGACGUAAAGUACUUGGAUACAUAGAGUCAUUACACAUAAUUUGUGAUUUUACUAUGGAUAUCGAUCCUUAAUUCGGCCACCCGUGCCCGCAUUAAGGCUCGGGGGCUACUGGGCUUCGGGCUUAUUAUUUACAAAUAUUAAAGGGGCACAUCGAUCCCCUGAUCUGGUGUUGACACCCGACCAGUGUCUGAGGGGCUACUGCAUUGCCUGUUCAAUGUAGAAAAUUUUAUGUGCAAUAUAUUUUCCGAGGAGAUUUUGAUCCUCAGGUUGAUCGGCUGCACCCAACCUGAGUCUCGAGGACUGAGCACGCCGCUUUUAGUGUCCUGAAGUAUUCAUCGAGCUAGGACUUGAUCCUUAGGCCGAUUUUGCAAAUCAACCUGAGUCUCAGCGGCUACUGGGAUCAACAGUCUUAUGUCAUCCUUCAUGUGCAUCUCGGGUUUUAGAGUGAUACCCACCUUGAUGGCUACUGGCUAUAUAUCUCGGCAGAGAAUAAAUUGCACCAAUCAAAAAUAUUGACAAAAAUCGGCCCACAUUCGGGGUGGUGCACCACCUCAGAAUCAGUCCGCAUAAAGCUCGGGCGCUAGUGGCUGGCUCCAUAGAGGGCAUUUCAGGCAUUAAGCUCGGCUAAACUCCUUCAAACUUCUUUGAACCAAGGUGAUUUACGACACCUCGGAUACAGUCCGAUGUUGGAUCUCGGAUACAGUCCGGCGUUGGAGCACGGAUACAUAGUCCAGCUUUGGAGCUCGGAUACAGUCCGGCGUUGGAGCUCGGAUACAUAGUCCGGCGUUGGAGCUCGGAUACAUUCCGGCAUUAGAGCUGGGAAGUGGUCCAGCGUUGGUGCUCGGCUCCAAAAGAUACCUCGAAUGCAGUCCGGCGUUGGAGCUCGUAUGCAAGAGGACACUGCCUCCCGGAAACAACUUCAAACCCGAGGUGUGGCAUAAAAAUAACAAGGCAUUGAUAAAGGCCGGAGAUCCUCAAGAUACCCGACGUGUAAACUUGUUGAAUGCAUUUCGGCGAUCCUCAAGAUCGAAGAUGAGAAGAUUUGUUGAACCAGUUUUCAAGACAGGCGACCGAAUAUGAAGAACAAUUCGGAAGAAUCGAGGAGCGUCCCUAACUUCAAGACCGGUUCAAGGGGCUACUGACGCUGUCCUGGACUAGGGGGUACUCACCACGUCAUCUCCCGAUCUAUUAGAUUGGGCUGAGGACCCCCAUGGUCGUAUACUCAUGGGCCAGUUUGGACAGCUGCCGCAUACAAGGAAGAUUCCACAAGACUUGGCAAUCAAGACAAGGACUCCUCCCCACCGGCGUAUUCGGCUAGGACUCUUGUUAUCCUAGGCCUCUGGUGCAUUAUAUAAACCGAGGCCAGGCUAGUCGAUAGAUCAUAUACAACAAUCGUACCAUAGGCUAGCUUCUAGGGUUUAGCCUCCUUGAUCUCGUGGUAGAUCCAAUCUUGUACUACCCAUAUCAUCAAUAUUAAUCAAGCAGGAGUAGGGUUUUACCUCCAUCGAGAGGGCCCGAACCUGGGUAAAAACAUCGUGUCCCUUGUCUCCUGUUACCAUCCGCCUAGAUGCACAGUUCGGGACCCCCUACCCAAGAUCCACCGGUUUUGACGCCGACACCAGCCCUAGUCCAAUAUACAAAGGAGUGAAGGUAAAUUUGUACCAAAGUUUGGGAUCCCCUAUAGGCUAAGCCAUCUGGCCCGCUUGAUAUUUUAACUGUAGUUUUGCCAGUGUGUGGCGUACAUACUUUUCGAAAUGAAUAUAGGAACAUUAGGUGACCAAUUAAACAUUAUCUGUUUUAGUAAUAUGAGCAUCAUAUCAGAUUCGUAUUUCAACAACUAAGAUUUGAAAUUAUCAGUGGAAUGUUGUUUCGCCUGAUGGGUUGAUGUCUUGAGGAGCAGUGCUAGCACGACAUGAAGCACCUAUGAUGAUGGUAGUGAAUAUAAUGGGGGAAAACCAUAAGCUUUACGAGUAUUGUGAUCGUGCGAUGGUGGAUCUGAAGGUGCUAACCGGAAAAAGGCUACUUCGCAACCAAUGUUUGCUUUCAACUAGCUAGUACGAUUUGGUACGGACAAGAAAAGUACAAUAAAGAAGUUAGAUCUAUUUUCCGGGUGAGAUCAGUAACUUAAGCAGAUAUGAAAGAGUACCACCUCUCUUGCCACACGUGUAGGCCCAUGCUGAUACGUUGAGGGUGCUGUGGGUGCGAUGGCUGUCGGCAGGUUGAGGAGCAACUAAUUAUGGUUCUGGUCGGGGUGAAGAUACCCCGAACAAAACCCUCAAAGGAUUACUUUCCAUAGUAACAAGUGACAGUUAAUUUCAGCACACUAUAUAAAUAUUUCCUUACCAAAUUCCACUUACCAAAGAGUCUUGAUGACCCACAACUAUAGGGGAUCUAUCAUAAUCCUUUCGAUAAUUAAUAGUGUCGAACCCAAUGAGGAGUAGAAGGAAAUGACAAGUGGUUUUCAGGAAGGUAUUCUCUGCAAGCACUGAAAUUAUCGGUAACCGAUAGUUUUGCGAUAAGAUAAAUCGUAACGGGUUACAAAUAAUAAAAGUAACUAAGGUUCGGCAAGGUGGCCCAAUCCUUUUUGUAGCAAAGGACAAGCCUGGACGAACUCUUAACUGAAGCAAAGCGCUCCCGAGAACACAUAGGAAAGACAACAUACAUCUCAUCAAAAUAUCGAACGAAUACCAAAUUCACAUGAUUACUUAUAACAAGACUUCUACCAUGUCCUUAGGAACAAACGUAACUAAUCACAAAGCAUAGUCAUGAUCAAGAUCAGAGGAGUAUUAAUUAUCAUUAAGGAUCUGAAAAUAUAAUCUUCCACCGGAUAAACCAACUAGCAUCACCUACAAGGAGUAAUCAACAGUACUAGCAACCCACAGGUACCAAUCUAUGGUUUUGGGACCAAGAUCGAAUACAAGAGAUGAAAUAGGGUUUGAGAGGAGAUGGUGCUGGUGAAGAUGUUGAUGGAGAUUGACCCCCUCUCGACGAGAAGAUCGAUGGUGAUGAUGAUGGCGAUGAUUUCCCCCUCCAGGAGGGAUGUUUCCCUGGCAGAACAGUCGUGCUCCGCCCAAGUUCCGCCUCGAGACGGCGAUGCUUCCUCUCGAAAGCUUAUGUAUGAAUUUUUUUUUCCAGACUAAAAGACACCAUAUAGCAGAAGAUGGUCAUUGGAGGCCUGCAAGGGGCCCACAAGGUCGGAGGGCGCGCCCAGGGGGGUGGGGCGCGCCCUCCACCCUUGUGGCUGGCUGGUCAACCCCCUCUGGUACUUUCUUCACCCAAUAUUUUUUAUAUAUUCCAAAAAUAAUCUCCGUGAAGUUUCAGGAGUUUUGGAGUUGUGCAGAAUAGGUCUCUAAUAUUUGCUCCUUUUCCGGUCUAGAAUUCCAGCUGCCGACAUUCUCCCUCUUCAUGUAAACCUUGUAAAAUAAGAGAGAAUAACCAUAACUAUUGUGAUAUAAUGUGUAAUAACAGCCCCUAAUGCAAUAAAUAUUGUCAUAAAAGCAUGAUGCAAAAUGGACAUAUCAUGCACCCCUCCAUGAUGGUGUCUAGAUUCGAUCUGGAGGUUCUGGACUUUGCGGCGGCUGGAAUAAAUUUUCGUCGACUCCCCUAGGGUUUCUAGAAUAUUGGGGUAUUUAUACAGCAAAGAUUCGGUUUAGGGGAGUCCCGAGGUGGGCACAACACACCUGGGCGCACCUGGGCCCCCAGGCUGAAGCAAAGCGCACCCGAGGACACAUGGGAAAGACAACAUACAUCUCAUCAAAAUAUCGAACGAAUACAAAAUUCACAUGAUUACUUAUAACAAGACUUCUCCCAUGUCCUCAGGAACAAACGUAACUACUCACAAAGCAUAGUCAUGAUCAAGAUCAGAGGAGUAUUAAUUAUCAUUAAGGAUCUGAAAAUAUAAUCUUCCACCAGAUAAACCAACUAGCAUCAACUACAAGGAGUAAUCAACACUACUAGCAACCCAUAGGUACCAAUCUAAGGUUUUGGGAACAAAAUCGAAUACAAGAGAUGAAAUAGGGUUUGAGAGGAGAUGGUGCUGGUGAAGAUGUUGAUGGAGAUUGACCCCCUCUCGAUGAAAAGAUCGAUGGUGAUGAUGAUGGCGAUGAUUUCCCCCUCCGGGAGGGAUGUUUCCCUUGCAGAACAGCCUUGCCGGAGCCCUACAUUGGCUUCGCCGGAGUUCCGCCUCGAGACGGCGACGCUUCGUCCCGAAAGCUUCUGUAUGAUUUUUUCCAGACUAAAAGACACCGUAUAGCAGAAGAUGGGCACUGGAGGCCUACCAGGGGGCCCACAAGGUCGGAGGGCACGCCCAGGGGGGUGGGGCGCACCCUCCACCCUUGUCGCUGGCUGGUCGCCCCCCUCUGGUACUUUCUUCACCCAAUAUUUUUUAUAUAUUCCAAAAAUAAUCUCCGUGAAGUUUUAGGAGUUUUGGAGUUGUGCAGAAUAGGUCUAUAAUAUUUGCUCCUUUUCCGAUCUAGAAUUCCAGCUGCCGACAUUCUCCCUCUUAAUGUAAACCUUGUAAAAUAAGAGAGAAUAGCCAUAACUAUUGUGAUAUAAUGUGUAAUAACAGCCCCUAAUGCAAUAAAUAUUGUCAUAAAAGCAUGAUGCAAAAUGCACGUAGCAUGCACCCCUCCGUGAUGGUGUCUAGAUUCGAUCUGGUGGUUCUGGACUCUGCGGCGGCUGGAAUAAAAUUUCGUCGACACCCCUAGGGUUUCUGGAAUAUUGGGGUAUUUAUAGAGCAAAGAUUCGGUGCGGGGGAGUCCGGAGGUGGGCACAACACACCUAGGUGCGCCUGGGCCCCCAGGCGUGCCCUGGUGGUUUGUGCUAUGCUUGGAGCACCCCCUAGGUGCUUCUUUGGCCCAUUGGGUGUCUUCUGGUCCAUAAAAAAUCUCCGUGAAGUUUCACUGCAUUUGGACUCCUUUUGGUACUGAUAUUCUGCGAUGUAAAAAACGUGCAAAAAACAGCAACUGACACUUGGCACUAUGUCAAUAGUUUAGUACCAAAAAAUGAUAUAAAAUGAUGGGAAAAUUUCAUUUUUGCCACUCUAGAUUUUGCCAAUUUUUUUAUCCCACUCUAGAUUUUGACAUUCCACUUUUGCCGCUCUUAGAUUUUGACAAUUAUCACAAUUGCCAUUCUAUGGCAAAAGAAAAAUAAUUUUAUUUUAUAUUUUCCACUCUUAGUUUUUGACAAUUAUCACAAUUGCCACUCUGAAAAUUUUGCUCACAGUAUCUCCCCUGCAAGCACCGCGAGAAGAAGUACAGGGCUGCUGGUGAGAAAAUGUGCAAAGUAAAAUUGAUGAAUUCAUUUAACUCUUAAUUUGGAAAAAAAUCAGUUUAUUUGCUGAGUAAUUGAAGUGUUUAGUGAUCAAAAUUAUUGGCUAAGAAGAAGUUAACUUUGAGUAGUUUGAUGUUGAUCCUCCUCCUACAUUACAUGUUCAUGUGAGUAGUUAGAUGUUGGAAAAAAAUCAGUUAACUGUGACUUUGGAAAAAUUCAUUUUAAUGUGAGUAGUUUGAUGUUGAUCCUCCUCCUACAUUACAUGUUAAUGUCAGUCCAUGAACAUGCAAAUUAUUGGCCUGCAGAAUUUGCAAAAAAGAGGCAGUUAACUGAAUUUUUGGCUAGCAGAAUCUGCAAAAUUCAGUUAACUCUUUAGCGAAGGCUUAAGAUACAACCUGAAGAGUUUGGCCAUGACAAUCUGCAAAAUUCAGUUAACUCUUUAGCUAAUGCCAAUUCAGUUAAUUUUUUGCCAUGACAACCUGAAGCAAUACACAAGGCUUAAGGUACCCGAAGAAACCAAUGACAUUCUUAUGUAAUUUAGCUACCAUUGUGUUUAGUUAUAGCUCUUCUAUUUUACUCUUUUCUUACCUGAGCAAUGGCAUAUGGCAUUACAGAGCACUCCUGCAUUCAGUAGAAAAUUGUUCUCUUGAUUGAAAUAGUUGGCUCCAAUGACCAUUCUAAGAGUAUUAGCAUCUCCCCUACAUCAUAAGGCACCAAAACUUCAGUUGCUGGUAGAUUAGGAUUAAGGAGCCAAAGAUAAAGAUAAGUACAAUAAUUACAUAUUGGUGCCAAUCUUCCAAAAGAUGGAGCCAAAGAUAAAGAUAAGUACAUUUAGUUGCUGGUACAUUAUGAUUAAGGCAACAAUCUUGAAGGUUUUCAUAUUUGGCCAUGACAAUCUGACAAGGUUGUAAUCUGACGAGGUUGCAAUCCUAUCAUAUUUAGCUAGAUUCUUCUUCAAACAGGAUUGUGAAAUCGGCCACAAAUUUGAUUAGUUUGAUUGACAAUUUGAUUACUUUCUCUGGAGUUUGAUAAGCCACAAAUUUUCAAACAUUUACAUUCAGUAAACAUCUACAUUUACAUUCAGUAAAUAUCUUGCACAAAUCUGAAACAUAGUGUACUUGCAUUCUUCUUACAUUUCAGUUUAAAUUCAGUAAACCAUAUGCUUCUUCUUACAUUCAGUAAAUAUCUUGCAAAAAUAAUUUACUGCAUACUCAGUUUAAAUUUUAGUUUCAAGCAUAGUUAGAUUUACCUUGAAAAUACAAGCUUCUGAAAUUUGUUACAGAAAUUUUCCUACUAAAAAGAUAACUGAAUUUUGUGUACUGGAAGUUUACAGUGCCUAGUGUAGGAAAGUUUUUGAAUUUAGCUACUCAUACCUCUAUCUACACAUACAUGAGUGGCUAAUCUGCUAACUACACGCACCUCGUUCGAAAUUGUUUUGCAGGGCAUCCUGUUGGUUCGAGCUGGCCUUCUUCCUGGUACACACGGUUCGAGCUGGCCCUACUGAAUACAGCAAUGUUGGGAGCUCAACUUGAUCAAAUGAUUUGGAGCAUUCUGGAGCUAAACUUGAUCAAAUGCAGAGUAGUUUGGAUUUUUUUUGGAUAAAGGACAUUUCAUUGAAUUGAUAUAUCGAGGUGAUACAAUCACAUCUAAAGAAUGCCCGGCCUCUGCAUAACUCGAUGCACAUAGCCAAGAAGAUCAACCGACCCAAAAAAUAAAUACGUUUUACAACUUAAAAAGAUAAAUAAGUCCAGCCUAUGAUGUGGCAGAUCCUAUCCGGAGAUCACACCACCAUCCAUGGGGGGAGAAAACCUCCCUGGCCGUACGCUCCAGCCGUGUAGACGCCAUCAUAAAAAGGUCCCUGUCAUCUGGCCUCUGCAGGAUAGACCAAGUAUGGAGCCAUCACGUACACAUAUGAAUAACCUGCAUAGGAGAUGAAGCACAUUUUUUAUUAAGAACCACAUCAUUCCUGGUAAGCCACAAUGCCCAACAUAAGGCAGCCGCCCCACGAGAAUAUGUGUAGAAAAUUGUUUAUCAAUACCCCUCAAACCAUUGCCGAACAUGUUACGAGCACUACAUGGUGGGUAUAAAUUUGAAGCUACUUGAACUAUGGCCCAAACCGCUCGAGCGAACUUACACUCAAAAAUUAAGUGGUUAAUAGACUCGUCAUGUUGGCAAAAGACACACGCCUUGGUGGCUUUCCAGUUGCGUCGUGCCAGGUUAUCUCUAGUUAAGAUGACCCCUCUGUUUAGGAACCAGAUGAAUAUCUUCACGCUUAGAGAGAUUUUAAGCUUCCACAAUUUCCUGUUAUCAACCGGAACAUCACAAUGAACCAUUGCAUCAUACAUGGAUUUGACUGUAAACUUGCCAUUCUGAUGAAAAUUCCAUUGAAAGAUGUCCGGUUCAUCUGACAGUUGAAUAGCCUCUAGACGUACGAGUAGCUCAUUCCAAGCUGCCAGGCGAGGUCCUAAUAGGUUCAUAUGGAACGAAAUAUCAGGGUUUUCUUGUCCCAAAACUUGUUUGACGGCGACAAAUUUAUGUCUAACAAUCCUAUAAAAACUCGGGUAUUGCACCAUGAGUGGUGUGGUCCUAGCCAGGUGUCUUCCCAGAAUCGAACCUGGGAACCGUCCCUAACCGAGGAAGUCCCAAAUUGGAAAAAGAAUUCCUUGGCCUUCAUGACACCAGACCAAAAAUGUGAGUCACCAGGUUUCCAAUGGACUUGAGAAAUGGCUUUGGAUUCCAUGUACUUAUUACGAAUGAUUUGCUGCCAUACUCCAUCCUCAGUGAGUAGUUUAUAAACCCAUUUGCUGAGAAGAGCAAUAUUUUUAAUCUCAAGGUCCUGAAUUCCAAGUCCCCCUUGACUUUUAGGUCGACAUAAUACAGUCCACCUAGCCAAUCAAUAUUUCUUUGAUUCAUUAUAGCACCGCCAAAAAAACCUAGAUCUAAAGUAAUCAAGACGCUGAAGAACCCCUUUUGGUAGAUGGAAGAAUGACAUCAUAUAUAAAACCAUGUUUCUUAGGACGGAAUUGAUCGAUAUCAAUCGCCCCCAAUAUGACAAGAGUUUGGCUUUCCAACUGGCUAGCCGUUUCUCAAGUCUCUCUUCCACGUGCUUCCAGUCAGCGAUAAUUAAACGCCGAUAGUGUAUGGGAAUACCUAGAUACCAAAUCAAGAACUGCCCCAGCUGGCAUCCAAAAAUGUCAGCAUACUUAGGUGCAUGUUCUGCAGCAUCCUCAAAGCAAAAAAGUUCGCUCUUAUGAAAAUUAAUCUUGAGGCCAGAAAGUUCCUCAAAUGCACAUAAAAGCAGCUUGAGAUUUCUUUCUUUAUCUAGAUGACUAUCCAAGAAAAGUAUUGUGUCAUUCGCAUAUUGUAGGAUAGAUAAACCCUCUUCUACCAAAUGAGGAAUGACGCGGCUAACUUGACCGGCCACCUUAGCCCGCUCAACAAGGGUAGCUAGCAUGUCAGCCACAAUGUUAAACAAAAUGGGUGAUGCGGGGUCCCCUUGGCGAAGCCCCUUCCUUGUCUGAAAAUAGUUGCCAACCUCAUCGUUAACUUUGAUGGCCACACUACCUCCAGAAACAAAACUCUCAACCUAUCGAGACCAUUUUGGUGAAAACCCCUUCAUGGUAAAGUUUUCAACAAAAAGGGCCAUUUAACUUAAUCAUAGGCUUUUUCGAAAUCUAUUUUAAAGAUCACUCCAUUCAACUUUUUGCGGGAAGCUCAUGUACCGUUUCAUGCAGCACAACCACACCAUCUAGUAUGUUGCGUCCUUGCAUGAAUUCUAUUUGAGUGGGCUUGACGACAUGGUCAGCCCCCCGUUCAACUAGUUAGUUGCGACCUUCGUAAAGAUUUUGAAGCUUACAAUGAGAAGGCAAAUCGGUCCAUAUUGUUGAAUACGACUAGCCUCCUUAAUCUUAGGCAGUAGGAUAAUCUCCCCAAAGUUUAAGCGGGAAAUAUCAAGGUCUUCGGUAUGUAGUUGGUUAAACAACUGAAUCAAGUCCGCCUUGAUCACGUCCCAAAAGCAUUGAUAAAACUCUGCCGGAAAACCAUCCGGUCCCGGAGCCUUGUUGUGUUCCAUUUGAAACACCGCGGUUCGAAUUUCCUCUUCAGAAAAUGGAGAGGUUAAGAAUUUAUUUUCGCUUCCAAAACUUGAGGGAUGUCAUGAGUGAUAGACUCGACCAGCUCAAAAUGUGUCUCAGUGGAAGGUCCAAAAAGCUCUUUGUAGUAUUUAGUAAUAAAGUCUCUGAGCGGUGCUUCCCCCUCAAUACGGCCUUCCUCCUAGUCAAGAGCAAAGAUACGUUUCUUUCUAUGUCUGCCAUUGGCUAGCAUUUGAAAAUAUUUCGUAUUAUCAUCACCUUGAACGAGCGAAUCAGCCUUGCAACAUUGGUACCAUUUAAUCUCUUCCUCACGAAGAAAGCGUGCAAUCUGCUCAUUAAGAUGGCUUUUUUGCUCCAUCUCAUCAGCAAAAAGAGGCCUCACCUCCACAAUUUUAUCGAGGGUAUCGAUUAAACUAGAAAUCCGCAACUUUUCUUUUUUGCAAAUGCCAGUAGUGUGUUUAGCCCAUCCACGAAGGAAUCGGUGCAAGGCGCAGAUUUGAUUGUUCCAUCGUUGAAUGGGCGUGUUGCCGCGAGGUUGACGCGCCCACACUUUCUUGACCAUGUCCAGGAAUCCCUCUCUAGUGAGCCAUCCCAAUUCAAAUUUAAACUGAUGACGGUUAGAACUUGGAGGUGUUUCUCCAAAAUCGGUUAGCAAUGGAGCGUGAUCCGAUAAGGCAUCAAUCCUUUCCUAUUUAUAUUCCCAGUCGGUGGUAACCAGCACCCGGUCAAGUUUUUCGAAAGUUGCAACUGGUCGGUUAUUGUCCCAGGUAUACUGACGGCCAGACAUAGUGACCUCCCGCAGAUCUAGGCUGUCAAUAACAGAAUUAAAUAGGAAAGGCCACCUAGUAUCAAACCGGUCAUUGUUUUCUUCCUGCUGAUAUCGAAGGAUAUUGAAAUCCCCCCUGAUUAACAUUGGAUGGGGAUUGUCUUAGCAGGUAUUAACAAGUUCCUUUAGAAAAGCAGACUUAAACUCGUCCUGAGCGGCGCCAUAUACAACCGCCAGGCUCCAAAGGAAAUUGUCGGACUUGUUUCGAAGGUGAAAUUUGAUAUGAUAUUACCCCUUUGACGUGGACAAAAGUUCCAAGUACGUGGAAUGGAUUCCUAGCAAGAUUCCACCGGACCUCCCAGAUGGGGGUAAGAUGCGCCAUUCAUAAUCGUAACCACUUUGCCCAAGCCCUUCCCGCCGGCAAAGAAAAUUAAUAAAGGGGUUAUUAAAUAGUUCAUAUCAGGAAAUGACUAACUAAAUAGGCCGAGAUAUAGUUAAUAAUGAUUGAAAUUACCUGUUGACUAUCCCCUUCACGAUGUUGUAGUCACUUUAUUUUUUAAGUAGUGAGUCCAGUACUUCAACUUUUCCUUCUUCAACUUUAAUGUCUAACAAGAUCCAGUGGUGCCUGCAUGCGCAUACGUUUGCAUGUAUAAAUUAAGCGGGCAUCUGCAUAACACUAAUCAACUAUAACCCUAAACCCUAUACACUUAUUAACAUCUAGCUAGUAAGCAAAAACAGAAUUUUUAGUACAAGACAGUGUGACUCACUCGAAGUUGUAAGGAAGUAGUAUAUCUUCAUUGGUAUUGAGGCGCUUCAAGAAAUCUAGCAUGUUUUUCUCUACAUCUUGUCUACACCAUUCCAAUUUCCAUGUGUAUUCAUUAACGGUAUUUGGGUCAAUGAACCCAAUGCCAUAGCAUCCAAAAUUUUUCAUUUCAUACAUCUUCAUCCUGCAUAAUACCACAGAAAAGAAUAUAUAGUGAGGAUAUAUAUUUACAGGUAAUUAAUGAUCAAUCAAUGAGCACUAGAGCUAGCUUGAGACUUAAAUUACAGAAAGUAGUCACUUACAAACAAUAGCAACUGACGAUAGAUUUGUCGAGUGCAUCUUGAUUGAAUAACUGAAAUAGUUCUGAAUACUCAACGGACAGAGCUUUCUUAUGGAAGUAAUGCUCCUCCUUGACUUGCACCAUGAGGGACUCUCGAUUGGAACUUUUGGUAAUUUUCGUGUACCAAUCAUGCAAUUCAUACAUUCUCGUUGGGAGGUUCUUGACCUCCUCGGGCUUGACCAAAGGUUGGCCCCGGACAUAUUUCCGUUUUAUUUCCUCCUCUCUAAGGGGACAUGGGCUCGAUCCCAGGGAGUUGUCCAACAGUUAUCUUGAGCAUUUCAGCCUGCAUUAUAUGCUCCUCGGUUAUUACCACAUCGCCCAGUUGGAGAAAGUUAAUGGUUUUCCCAUAAUAAUAUUGGGCGUGCGUACUCUCAUGUGUUGUUGGCACAACAAGCGGGGGGAUCGAUUGCGCCGCCUGUUCUCCCAGCUGGGGAACGGUUUUCCUGCUUUUUUUGACAGCUGCUUGUUGGCUCGAGCUCAAGCUCGCUUCUUUCUGUAGUCAUGCUCGAUGUGCCUUCCUGAUUUGGCGCUCAUAGUCUGAGUGGUCCAUAACUUUCUCAGGCACUUUCUCCCUCGGCGGGGGUGCCGGUUUCGGUCCAAAAUGGGAGUCCACUUUGGCCCUCACUAUGGCUGUGUUUUGCCCCUCGGUCAUGUCGUAAGGCCUCUAAGGAAGAGGAGCGAGGCUUGGACCAUAUUUAUAUCGCUUGUCUCCACCUGUACUUCCUGUACUACCUCGACUCGUACCGCUACACACCAUAGCUGCGGCGUGUCUCUUCUGCGAUUGCUGAGGCGGCGGAGACGGCUGCCGUGGCUGAGUUGGAGCAAGAGGAGUGGCCCGACACUGUGCCGGAAUUGAAGCAGGAGGUGUGGCCUGACACGGUGUCGGACUUGAAACAAGAGGAGUGGCCUGACGCUAUGCCGUACUUGAAGUAGGAGUCUGCUCACGCGUUCAUGGUGUUGGCUUCAUUUCCGUGCCUCCGCUGCUUACGUCCACGCGCCUCACACGACACUGGCCUCCUGUCCCUACGUCAACGUGCGUGUAGAACCUGCACUUAAGUGCCUCGUGUGCCUGCAUCCACAUGCCUGUAGAAAGGCUCCACUUCAGCACUACCACGUGACUUCACAAACGUGGUGCCUUCAUUUCUGUGCCUACACGUACAUGCACCCACGUGCCUAACGUGUCACUCGCCUAGACUCUUACAUGCCCCAUAAUGCCACACCCACGUGGCUUCACGAAAGUGGUUCUGUAACCGAGUAGUCAGACCCAUGCCUCUGCCGCCACACGUUUGUGCAUCCAGAGAGUGCACACUCGUGACUUGAGAAAACACACGUACGUGCCUGUUGUGGAUUCACCUUUUCUGCCUUCCAUGCCUGAACCAACGUGCCUCACGUGCCUAACAAAACAUGCGCCGUGACUCUUACAUGGUCCCACUGCCACGCCCGCGUUGCUCCUGAAACUUCACAACCAUGCCUCUUUAACCGUGCAUUCUAACACAUGCCUCUGCCACCGCACUCUUGUACUACAUCCAUAGGGUUGAUACCCGUGCCUCGAGAAGCAGCAUGUCCGUGCCUGUGUUAGCUGCAUUUCCGUGCCUCCAGUUCUUACAUCCACGUACCUCACGCGACUCUGGCCUGUCCCGUGGUUCUCUAACUGCCUGUAGAACCCACACUUCCGUGCCUCCUGUACUUCCCUCUGGAAGUGCCUGUAGAACCCACACUUUCGUGCCUCCUAUGCCUGCAUCCACAUGCCUGUAGAACCUGCACUUAUGUGCCUCGUGUGCCUGCAUCCACAUGCCUGUAGAGAGGCUCCACUUCAGCACUAACAGUCUCAACACUAAAAACAUACUGUAGCACAUAAAAAAACCCAAGCCAAGCAUAACGAAUCUUGAUGCCCAAACAGACGGUUGAAGAUUAGAGACGGUUCGAUGAUUUCCAUCUCUCCCUCCCUCUUCUACUAGCUUGCUUCCCCUUCUGCAAAGUAAAUAUCGAAACCUUUAUCACUCGCACACUCUCCUCCUUCCUUCUGCACACAAACACAAACUCGAAAUCGAGUUCGCGUCACCGGACAACCGCCACCACGUCCGCCAACCACACUCAAAUCUGACAUAUAAACAGCCAUACUCUGCCCGUGACAACACCAAUAACCCCGCCGGCUGCGGCGACCGACGGCGAGGACUUCAACAGCGACGGUGGAAAUCGCAACAAAAAAGGAGCAACACGACACAAUAAGCGGAUGGAAGCGAAGGACACCGCACAAGCAACUGAAGGUAAUUAUCAUUCUAUCCAACUCCAUUCCACCGGGUAGAUCCUAGUGAUUUUUCCACUUCCAGGAACAGCAACCCUAGCCACCGCUACCAAGGAGUUUUCUAAUUACCUAAAUCAAUUUGCCUAACAAAUUGAACUAGCGCAGAGAUAAGAUUUUAUAGAAAUGCUACUGCUCUCCGCCCUGGGAUUUUCGCCAUACGAUUUGUGCUCAAAGGUAAAAAACCUGAAACAUCAGUAACUACAAUACGUCGGUAGAUCCAAACCCCGCAAGCAUCCUGAGAGGCCAAAACUGAUAACCGUACGAGAUUUUCUACAUCCCUUGUCCUGUCAAUAUAACCGAUUUUCAAAUUAAGUGCCUCUGUUGUGAAAUACCAUGAACAAAGAAUAGGUGUACCCUGUGCUUCUAGGGUAAAACAACCCAUGCCUCUCUAUCCAUGCAAAUUUGUUUUCACACCACGCAGGUUUUUUUCCUGUGACACUCGACUCUGCUUCUAACACCUGCCCAUUUUUUAUGCGGCAAUGACAAAUCCUCACGAAGAAGCUAAAACCCAGCAAAAUACUGACGAAGACCCUGCUGAAGAGCAUGCAAAUCAGCAAGCUCCUGUCAAAGGUUUGAGCAAAAAGUCUCCACUGUCCAUCUACAAAAAACUAUAUUGAGAGUUAUUAAUAACUUAACAUCUAUCCUUGACAACAUAAUUAAAUAUUUCUACAAAUAAAACUACCUACCACUUUUUAUAUAUUUCUUUAUAAAAACAUUAAAAAUGUUUGCACACUAUCUUAUUUUUAAUUCAAAAACAGUUUAACUUACCCAAUAAAUCUUGAACUAUCAUUGAUGAUAUUCCUCCAAUCAUGAAAUAUCACCUGUAGAGUGCAUUUUUGUCUCAGAAAAUGCUUCGCCCUAACUUCACUACCGCAGCUGCACUCAUAACCAUAAUUAAUAUUUUCUUCCAUCCCUUGAUUAGCUCAAUCGGUAACAAUAGUAAUAACCUAUCUUAACCCAAGAAAAUAAAACUAAAAUCCCCUUUGGGAGUUUCACAUUCCUUAUGCAUAAUCAUGGAAGAUAUAUAUUUUAAAUGUGUAUCAACUAUUUUCAGACAAAAAGAACAUCCUUUUUUUACCUGGUCAUUAUAUAGGACACGAAGAUGGUGAUAUUCAAAGUGCAGAAACAGGCAGGAUGUCUCCUCAUUCAUCAGAAAAGGACACAGAACAAAACAUGAGGAACAAACCACCUGCGAAAGAAAUGAUAACUUAGACCAGGCUCAACAAGAAUAAACAUCUAGCAACAAGCAAAAAAAGAGGAAAUCAGAUACAAGCACUGUUUUUACUCCUAGAGCAAAAAGGCAAAAGCAAAAGGACAAUGCUGAAAACAUCAUCGACACUAGUACCUUGCAGCAUCAGCCAUUUUACCUCUAAUGGUACUCCCGCCAACAGCACCAACCGCCAUGAAGAAACAAGGUGAACGCAAGAAGAAAUACAAAUGACGAAGGGUAGAAAAAGAACAAGACGAUACCAACAGCAAAGUUUCAGAUACCAAUGAUGACGACGAUGACAGGGAACAUGAUGCAGAUUUCAUUCCUACAGAUGGCGAUGAUGCCGAAGAGCAUGACACUGACACAGAACAUGACGACGAUGUAAAAACACACUUAUGUACUAAUUUUGAAUACCACUAUUAAGGACUCCGGAUCUAACGUUCCUUUCUAACGAAAACCUUUCUUUUUGUCUUCUGAAACAAAACAAAUCAGGAUAGAAGGACAGAAAGAGGAGAAAGACAUGCGGAAAAGAAUUGGCAGCACCAACAGUUGACGAAGAACAGCAAGAAACAGACGAAGAGAAAUGCCAAAUCUAGGCAAGGGCAGCAUUCGCUCAUGUCAAGAAAGCAUGAAGUUUACUUAGAGACCGUCACAGGCAAGAUAUUAGGACGGCAGGAUUUGGCAGCAUAGAGAACUGCAAAAUAACGGGCUCCAUCUGCAGACCACUUGCAGCACACAUCUACGACAACCUAGACAUAGAAAGCGUGAAAAUAACCUUCGGUGAUGGUACCGAAGACAAGAAACUCAAGAUUACCAAGGAAGCUAUACACAAGGUGUUUGGAUACCCAAACGGCACGGAAAAGUCAGCACCAAGGCCAGCGAAGAGCCCAACUUCAAUGAAAAAACUGAUGUUAGACCUUGGCUUCAAAAAUACAAAUUUCAGGCCAAAAGAACUAUUCAGGGAGCUAAAUGAAUUGGUGGAACUAGAUGACGAAUAGUCAAACAAGAAAUCAAUUAAAAUAUUUUUCCUUAUUUUUUUACACAACGUUGUUUGUGGGUCAAGCACCGCUAUCUUCGCCCGACAAGCUAUAAUGGUAGAGGACAUGGACUAUCCAGAGAUGGCAAAGAUGGAUUUCUGUGAGGUAAUCGUCGAAUGUAUUAAGGAAGGAGCCAAGAUAUGGCAGAAACACAGAAAUUUGCCUCAGGAAGAAAAGAACAAAAAGCAUGUCAAUGGUUUGGCACAGGGGCCAGUAAUCAUGUACCUCGACUCCCUACUGCUGCCAACCGACACAAAAGAAAUGCGGAAGAUUGCAAAGACAAUGGACAAGACCUCAUUACCACGAGCAAACCAUCUCAAAGAGAGUGACCUAGCGAAAAUAGCUAGAGCAGACAUGAAAAGGGAUGGAAAAGCAUGACCAGAUGACUAUGAAUUUGGCAAAAUACAGGUAUAGCUAUAUUGUACAUAAAUCAGUCCUUCCCUUUUUGAAAAUGGUUUCCAUUCUAAUUAACUACAUUCCACCAAAACAAGUCAGACAUGGAAAGGAACAGCAGAGAGGAUCUUCUAUGCCAACACAACAUCAACUUCGUCUUCAAUUCGGCAGAUAGCAGGAGAACAUCACAAACAACAGCAACACCAGAACACGACCAAACUGCUACCACCCCCGUGGCCUAGCAGGCUCACAGGGCAGCACCCCAAUUUUUUAUAGCUUUUUUCUUUUCUGCUUUAUUUUCUUCUAUUUAUUUCUGAGUAGUUUUUUAUAUAGUUUUUUUCUUUUCUGCUAUAGUUUUUUUCUUUUCUGCUUUAGUUUUUUUCUUCUAUUCAUUUAUUUUUAUAUACCAUGCCAAGUUGAUGGUUAAAACUUGAUGGUCAAAGUCUCGAGUUAUAACCAAAGUUUAAAAAAAUGAAAUGCCGAAGUGCAACUAGUUUUUUCCAUAACAGAAGAAGUCCGGAGUUGAAAUAAGUUAUUAAAAAUAAAAAAAGAGGUGCAAUGCUCGUUAAUUAGCUUCAAGCAUUUCGGAAUAGUGUAAACUGCACUGCACAUAGCUCCGUGCAGUCUACCAUAUUCCUCAAGGCUUGAAGCUAAGCAACGUGAGCAUUGAGCCUCUUCUUCAUCGUCUCUGCACUCAGGGCUUAUAAACCGCUCCUAGUCCCUCUCUCUUCACGAGGUGGGACUAAAAAACAGCUAACUAAGAAACUGUAGUACUCGUUCAUGCCAUGAACCGGUACUAAAGGUGCUCGUGGGGCCCCAGCCUUACCUGACAACAACCUCAUUAGUACCGGUUCAUGGCACGAACCGGUGCUAAAAGUUCACCACGAACCGGUACUAAAGAGCUCCUCCCGCCUAGCAGUUGGAACCGGUACUAAAGAGCUCCUCCCGCCUAGCAGUUGAAUGGUGCAUACUGAAUGCCCAAAAAGUCUGGAGUUGUAAUAAGUUUAAAAAAAUAAAAUGCCUUUGUAACAGAUGAGUUUAAUUUCGUCAAAAACCCGAAUACUUUGAAAGAGAUUGUCCAGUUUGUAAACGAAGUGCAUCCAGUUUUUGUCGUAACCCUCUCUACUUUUUUGGACAUGAUAUGUGGGUGAAAUGAUCAUACCAUGCCAAGUCUCAACUUUUUCAGAGUUCAUUUGUAGUGCUUUUCAAUUUCCAGGUCAUUUAGUUCUCAAAACAAAUCAUUAAAUGCAUGAAAAAUAGCAAAUGAAUGCAUAAAUGGUUGAAAGUUAAUGGUGUCGCUUUGAAUGGUGCAUACUAAACGCAAAAAAUAUAAGAGCAUUUAGAUCAUGAUCUUAUAUUUCUUUACAGUCUGGAUUGUCAAUAUGAUCUUAUACAUCAAAAAUAAUCUUUUUAUGUACAAUCUGAAUUGUCAAUAUGAGUCCUCAACGAUUUAUAAACCGGUGAAGACUCAUAUUGCGGCCACAAAUUCUACACAUAGAGUUCGAUGAAGACCAAGUGCUUGUGAUAGUUUGAGAAGUAACAUAUUUAAGGUGGUAAAAGCCUUGUUAGGGAAGCGAGGUGGGACUAAAAACAGCUAGCCAUAACCUCAUUAGUAUCGGUUCAUGGUACGAACCGGCACUAAAUGGUGAUGGUGGGGCAUAGCCUGACUGCAGGCUGACACAGCAUCUUUAGUACCGGUUCAUGGCAUGAACCGGUACUAAAGGUUCGCCACGAACCGGUACUAUUGAUCGCCGCCACGAACCGGCACUAAUGUACACAUUAGUGUCGGCUCAAAUUCAAACCGGCACUAAUGUGCUUCACAUUUGACCCUUUUUUUACUAGUGCUAGCAUAUGGAGACAAUGCCCCGGUACAAAGAAACACCCUUGGGCAGAACGGAUUGUUUCUAGUAAAGAAGCGUCAUCAGGUAGAUAAAACCAAAGAUGCACGGAUGCACAGACAAAUGAAUCAUAGAUGCAUACCUUUCAUAUUAUGACACCUCUCAAAGCAUAUUCCUGUGGACUUUCCCUUCCAGAAAAAGCACUACAUGCCGGGCACGAGUCAGUUUUGCCGCAUAAACAUGUCAACCAACUGAUUGUCCAGAGGUAGAAGACAAACCUGCCUAGGAAACUUGGACCACCAAAACGCCUCCCCAUAUAACCAACGACGAGCAGCAACCUCCAAAACAAAAGGUCGAGCGUGCAGAUCAGCCCGCACUGAAAGAACCACUAUUUUUCAACAUCAAGAACAACUAGGGAAAAAGAAGAUUGGGGAGAGAAAGGGGAAACAGACGGACUUUAAAGAGAAUGAACAACUACAAUCACAAUGGAUCAAUGGAUCCGACAUGUACCUCAACCAGCCUAAUCUGGCAGCAGCCAUGUGCCGGGGAUGAACCUUCACAUCCUUAGCACAUCCUCGGGGAUCGCAGUAGAGCUCGAGAGCCAGCCGAGUGAUCUGUCGAGUGGAUCUUGAGGGUGGGUGUUACGGUCAAGCAGGAGGGCCUAGAGCUGAGACGCCAUGGUAGGGGCUUCCUCCUCCGCCACCAGAGGGCGCCGCCGCCACCAUCUCCCCCUCCUCCUCCAGCACCAGAGGGCGGCGCCUCCGCCAUCUCCCCCCUCCUCCUCCGACGGAGGGCACCGCCGCCACCAUUGUCGAUGGAGUGGAGGGGAUGAGGGGCUUGGGAAGGCGGCUAUAGGGGAGGGGGAAAAUAUUUAGGGUUGGAGACGAGGGCAUGGGGAUGAAGGAGAAAGCGGACGGGCAUGGGCCUCACGACGGCUUGUACGUCGAGCGCGUCCCUCGCGCGGAGUGGUGGUCUUUUCCCUCGCGUGGUGCAGUGCGCUCGCCUGACCCUCGCUGUUUUUUUCCCACGCGCGAUCGCGGUGCGGUGGUUUUUUUUUCUUUGCGUGGUGCGGUGUGCUCGAGCCAUCGGUUGUGACUACGAGUCGUUGAGGGUUUAUAUGUUCAAUUCCUGCUGGAAGCCUAAAGUUCAGUACUGGUGAAAAGGUUUCUUCGUGCUGCUCCGAGUGUUCUUUUUGCAGUUUUUUAGGGUGGUGUAUGAGGCUUCAACGCUUCUUCACAACAUUGUAGAAGGGCCUGAAUUUGCUAAUGAUAGAAAUGAAAUGAUCCCAUCAAUGUUGGAGGAUUCCUCCAUAUUAACGUUGUUCUUAUUGAAGUGAGAAUUUUGGAUAUUUUACAUUCAUGCCCAUGAAGAAUUGUAAUUCUGAAUUUAUAAAUGCAUUCUGAGAUUAUCUAUAAAUCAAUAAAUGCAAUAGGACUUCUGCUUCUUGAAUCGUUGUCAUGCAGUGACGGACUGUACCAGUUGGCAGCUUCUUGGUUGUCAUGACUUCUUACUUAUCACUUCUUGAAAAUGUGUUCAAGUGAUACAUUUCUCACAGUGAAUAAAAAUCAUAUACAAAGGCUUGCAUCCAACCAAAAAAUUACAGAAGGACUUACAAGGAACUAUUUGUCGAACAAAAUGUCACAUCAUCAACACCAACGAAUCAAACAGGCUCUCUUACUGGCGCGGCGACACGCCGCACUUUUUCUGCGCUUGUAUAACCAUACACUUGUAGUACAUGUGUGUACAAGAGCAAUGCUUUUUAGAACUCACAGCUGCUUCUGAGAGCCCAAUAACUGAUGGGCACCACUGGAGUUGCUUAAUUAGUAGGCAACUAAUUCUAGCGUAAUUCAUUAGCCACCGGCACAAAGCAGUGCCAGCCUAGCACAUGUGCAUGCGUCACUUCACUUCACUUUCCAUGUGUGUUGACCUUGGCCUCCCUAAACAAGUCUCAUGUGACUGUCAUCGAUGCUAAUCUCAGCAUCUUUCCUUUUCCAUGCAUGCAAUCCAACAACUAAUCUCCUUCACAUCGACCCAACCAUCUGCCACUAUGCAUUAUGACUCGUUCCACAUAGAUCAAAUUGCCUAAUAAUACGUGCUUUUUUGGGAGAAAAGUAUACAGAUCAAAGAGAAGGGUUGUCUUUUUCUUCAAGAGAGUGGUUGAUGUACGGACGUGGAGUAUUUGCACCCGAGCUCAAAUGCUCCUAGUGAAUAGUAAAAUCAGGAAAAUAGUACAAAAUUAAAAAAAAAUCAAGUUUUUUUGCGUUAACCUUUGACAAAUGUUCUAUGUGCUUGUAAAAAUUUAUAAUGAAAGAAUAUUCCUGGAAGUCGUAAAAAAACAAAAUUGAUACUCCAAAAAUGCUAAUUUUUAAAGCAUUUUGGAGUACUGAUUUUUUUUGUCAUGACUUCCACGGAUGUCAUUUCUUGAUGAAAAUUUUCAAACAUAGAAAACUUUUGUCAAAGGUGACCACAAAUAAACUUCAGAAUUUUUUUGAAUUUUUUCAUCUUCUAUCGAUUUUGCUGUUCACCCAAGCUCAUUUGAGCUCUCAAGCAGAAUAACACUUUCGUUGAUGUAACACUUUACAUUGAUGUACCUGUCUAUUUAAGGCAUUUCCUCCAUUUUCCAUGCAAAAAAUGGCAUUGCCUCCAUUCCAUUUCUUGUAAACCGUGAAAAUUUGGGGACGACUCCUUUGAUUUUAGUCCACAACCACCCAAACCCAGCCCAACCUUAAUCUGAGCCAUGAGAUCCCCUUCUAAAGCACAACCCUCCAUGCCAUGGGAGACACUCGAGCUCCUCCGAGCGGUGCGUAGCUCCACGCACACGAUCCCCACCUCAUGUCGACGAAUGAUGAGCCGCUAGCAAUUAGAAGCAGCGAGUCAUCAUCGUGGCCUCUUCUCCCUUCCUCCUUUCCCUCACAACUCUAUUUCUUAUUACCGGGGAACCAACCAGGCCAAAGCAGCUCGCCGCUAACCAAAAUCGAGGACCCUCGCCUCCUCACUCCUGGAUCAGUCUGUUCCUUCCCUAUCUAGCCCUCACUAUGAAUGCCCCCGAGCAGAUGCUCUCUGCCGCCAUGCUCGAUGGAGCCUCGAGCUCGUCUGCAUCGCCUGCCUGCGUCCUAGCUCGCUUAAUGCAUGUGGGCCAGCCAACAACUUGCCCGCAGCAAUCCGACUGCCUUUAGCCAAGCAACCUAGGUAGAUCUGCUAGCCCAUCUAGCAGUCACGACGCCUUGCUCUGCCCCUGUCACCAAACGCCCAUUGGGCCACAAGGUGGGUGCCCCUCCUAUAUUUCACGUGUAGGCAUUUUAGUGCCUCUCGCUUGCUGGCCUCUGUAACGGGCUUUGGCACAGUAGCGAGUCUGCUAUGCACCACCUAUGGGUGCGAUUUAAUAUCUGAUGCUCAGUUGUGUUAGUCUUGUUAUCUAUAUUAGUUAUUUCCGUAUUUUAUAAAUUCUGAAAAAUGCCAUUUGUAUGCAUAUACUAUAACUUUUAAACCAUUGGUCCGAUUAAAAUAUGUUAUAUAUGUAAGUUUCUUAGGAUUUCGUCAAGUUUCUUAAUAAGUUAUUUUCACAUAUGUCAACAAUUUUUAACUUGGUGUCUGAAUUAAAAUUGCUCAAAUACCCUUGUAAAAUUGCUAAACUCGUAACUAAUUAACUUCAGUUCGGAUCACAAAAUUUUAUAUAUUGUUUAGGAAUGUACAAAUGUGUAGAUUGCAACUAAACUCAUAGCUAAUUAACUUUAUUUUCACAUAUACCAUUGAGUUUGAUGUUAGCAACUCCUAUAAUACUGUUUAGGGAAGAACCUUAAUUAUCCUAAUUAAAUGCCAUGAGGUAUUUUUGAGAGAUGCUAUGUAAAUGUUUCCCACCUCAUUUAAUAUGACUAGAUAGGGUAGUUUACUGCCGUUUCACCGCCUUGCCAUGUUACAACAUUUAAUAUUGUCGUGUAACUAAAUGCCUUUCUGUUUACAUUCAAGGCGUCUGUUGGGUUGUGAUCCAACGAAGAAAUAUAUGGUUACAUCAAAUCCCACAAUUUAUUAAAAGAAUACAUGUUUUAUGAACAUAUUAAAUCACAUUGUUCACCUAGAAUGUAACAUGUGCAAUACAUAACUAGAAUAAAGUGAUUUUUUGAACUUUUGCAUGUGCUAUUGACAGUACAAUGCACACGUUCCAUGUGAAAUGUAACGUGUGUGAUGACUAGUAUCAUCACAAAUGGUAUAUGGGAAGAAACAACAAGAGAUAGUUAUGCCAUCACACACAAUUUAAUGAAACGAAUUGUCAGUGACUGACUCCAUAUUCGCAUAUGAUUCUUGGUUUAGAAAUCACGUGGGAUGGUUUUAUGAUUGCAAACAUUUUCCCUGUGGUCAAUGAUGGACUCCCCUUUGCCAUGUUGUUAAGACUACAAUGUCAAUGCCAUCUGAAGAAGUUAAAACAUGGUUUUUUUACCUAUUGUUGAAAAAAUGAAAGAUAAAGAAUAACCUAACAGAUUUUAUCUCUUUAUCAUGAGAGCACAAUGAUUGAUGUUGUUGAUGGGCACCUCACAUAUUGCCAUGAGAGCAUCAAUUAUCAAUGUUAACUAAGAUGGCGAUCUUUCCUUGCUCAGGAAGCUUACCUUAAUAUGACUAUAGAUAUGAUGGCCUUGGGUUGCGAAGUGCCACCAAACAAAAAAAUAUGAUACAUAUGACCAAGUUUUUUGAGGUGUAUAUAUACCAAGGGCAUCAGAAAUCAACCCUGACAGAGUGUGCAUAAGAACCUAGGCAGGGUGUCCAUACACCAAUGUCCUUCCUGACCUUGUUCCUUGGACUUUUGAUUCCCUUCCUUUAUUAAAUUGACCCGCCUAAUUUUCCAGAUUUCCCAUGGAACUCCAAAAACCUAUUUUCACUUAAAGCAUAUGUAUUGAAAACAUGAACUAGAUCUACAAACUUGAUUAAUAUGUUGGUCCAAAUAAAUAUGAAUAUUUUUGUAAUUAAUAGAAUUGUGGAAUGAAUAGAACAAAAAUCAUAGAUAAAUUAAUAACAUAUCAUUGGUUCCCUUUUUGUAGCCAAUGUGCUUUACCGUCAAUCUUAGUUUGGAUGCUAUAUAAAUAGUAAUGCACUUAUCACCUGUCAAUGUGCAGAAUAAUUCAGUUCAACAAGCUAAACUUAGAUAGGUGAUAGAUAUACUAUUUAUUUUAAGUUGUAAGGUGUGUGCCAAGUUGUCGGGGGAUUUGGCUGUCCCUCGAGCACCUAUGGGACCACGGCGGACCGGAGCCCCUUUUUGGUUCGGCGGGGGCGAUGGUUGCACAAAGAGCAGAUCGAGGCGAGACACGCGAGCGAUUUCACCCAGGUUCGGGCCGCACGGAUGCGUAAAACCCUACUCCUGCUUUGUGGAUUGUAUUGUGUUCUUGCUCGGGAGCACAGAGUGCUACAGUACACUCCAGCAGCUAGCGAGGCCGAGCAUGAAUGAGUGUCUAGUGGGGGGAGAACCCUUUCUACGUUGCACUUGGGCCUCCUUUUAUAUGCUCAAGGGGUCACCGACAGGUGGCAACGUCGACAGAAGGGCAAAAACGGGAGAGUGGUGGUUGGUACAACUACCUGUACAGUGGUAUCGUACCUAACCCUGACGGCAGGGGACAAGGGCAUUAAUUGCCCGUCUGUGUUGCCUAAACAGUACAGAAAGGGACCGUUUGGGACGCCAGCGUUUGCCACGAUGGCUGCCUCGUCAGUGCAUGCUUGCCACCACGUACCCCUAGCUGCACAGCCUCCCCGCCACGUAUGCUUGGGAGAGGGUCCCAGAGCGGCACGUGGUGGGUGAGCUGGAGCGCGGGCACGAAGUGGGGGCUUGUCGCGGCGAGCGCCUUGCCGCGGUUGUUGUCUUGCCGCGUCCGGGAGCUUGUCGCUCACCGGGCCUUGCCGGGACGCGUGGCGUGUCGCGGAAAAUCUCCUUGAUAUGCCUUGGUUGGCCUUCCCGGCAAGCUCCUCUUGCCAGGGUCUUGCAUGCCUCGAUAGGCCUUCCCGGCAAGCUCCGCUUGCCAGGGUCUGGUUUUCUUCCCGGCAAGCUCCUCUUGCCGGGGCCUUGGUCUAGACUUGAAUGGCUCUAAAAUAGCCAUGGAGAGUCUCGGCGGUUACCCGGCAAGCCUUGCCGCGGGUCGCUGCGACUACCCAUGCACAAGUUCGGGGUACUAAGGUACCCCUACUUUAGUACACCGACAGGAGCCCCCGGGCCUGGGCCACACACGGUGCCGAGCGCUGUUGGGCCAGGCCCAAAACAGUGCACGGGCACGCGUGGCCGAGGGCACGCCGUAAAUCCCUCCGCUCCCACCGCGCACGCCCCGAACAGCAAGCGCCGAACGAGGCAUCGUGGGUGAGAUCGUGGGCGGUAUGCGCGGGACUAAGCCCCGCGUGCGUGCGCUGCGUCAUGAUGAAGGAGACGGUUCACGCCCUCCCCCAUAAACGGAGGUAGGCGUGGGGGCGCGGUGCAUUUACUGGCGGAGCAGAUGCGCGGUUUUCGAGGCGCCCACUCCCCAUGAUCACGGGGUGGGGUGAGAUCGCCUCAUCCGUCGCUUCGGCUCUGUACGCCCGCCACGCGGCCCCCAUGCACUAGGGGUCGCGGAUGGUGAAGGUGGGACACUGGGCCGUCACGGGUCGCGGCAGUGGGGUCGGCCCCAUCUCCCUGCUCUCCCCGUGUCUUGAUUCGCUGAGUGGGGCGGCCGGGCCCCCAUCCCGCUCCUUUAAAAGGAGCAAGAGGGGUGCACGGAAGCCCGCAUUCCCCCAUCUCCUCCUUGUUGGGGAACAUAGUAAUUUCAAAAAAUUUCCUACGCACACGCAAGAUCAUGGUGAUGCAUAGCAACGAGGGGAGAGUAUGAUCUACGUACCCUUGUAGAUCGCAACGGAAGCGUUUGACACAACGUAGAGGAAGUAGUCGUACGUCUUCUUCCCGAUCCGACCGAUCCAAGCACAGUUACUCCGGCACCUCCGAGUUCUUAGCACACGUUCAGCUCGAUGACGAUCCUCGGGCUCCGAUCCAACAAAGCGUCGAGGAAGAGUUCUGUCAGCACGACGGCGUGGUGACGAUUUUGAUGUACUACCGACGCAGGGCUUCGCCUAAGCACUGCAAUAAUAUGAUCGAGGUGGAAUUUGGUGGCAGGGGGCACCGCACACGGCUAAGGAAAGAUCUCAAUGAUCAAUUGUGUGUCUAGAGGUGCCCCCUGCCCCCGUAUAUAAAGGAUGAGAGGGGGAGGGCUGGCCGGCCAAGAGGAGGGAGGCGCAGGAGGAGUCCUACUCCUACCGGGAGUAGGACUCCCCCCUCCAAUCCUAGUCCAACUAGGUUUCUCAAGUGGGAAAGAGAGAGAAGGGGCCGGCCACCUUCUCCUAGUCCUAAUAGGACUAGAGAGAGGGGGAGGCGCGCAGCCCUAUGUGGGCAGCCCUUUCACCUUUCCACUAAGGCCCAUGUUGGCCCAUUUGGCUCCCGGGGGGUUCCGGUAACCCUCCCGGUAAUCCGGUAAAAUCCCGAUUUCACCCGGAACACUUCCGAUGUCCUAACAUAGGCUUCCAAUAUAUCAAUCUUUACGUCUUGACCAUUUCGAGACUCCUCAUCAUGUCCGUGAUCACAUCCGGGACUCCGAACAACCUUCGGUACAUCAAAACUCAUAAACUCAUAAUAUAACUGUCAUCGAAACCUUAAGCGUGCGGACCCUACGGUUCGAGAACAAUGUAGACAUGACCGAGACACGUCUCCGGUCAAUAACCAAUAGCGGGACCUGGAUGCCCAUAUUGGCUCCUACACAUUCUACGAAGAUCUUUAUCGGUCAGACCGCAUAACAACAUACGUUGUUCCCUUUGUCAUUGGUAUGUUACUUGCCCGAGAUUCGAUCGUCGGUAUCCAAUACCUAGUUCAAUCUCGUUACCGGCAAGUCUCUUUACUCGUUCCGUAAUACAUCAUCCCGCAACUAACUUAUUAGUUGCAAUGCUUGCAAGGCUUAAGUGAUGUGCAUUACCGAGAGGGCCCAGAGAUACCUCUCCGACAAUCGGAGUGACAAAUCCUAAUCUCGAAAUACGCCAACCCAACAUCUACCUUUGGAGACACCUGUAAUGCUCCUUUAUAAUCACCCAGUUACGUUGUGACGUUUGGUAGCACCCAAAGUGUUCCUCCGGAAAGCGGGAUUUGCAUAAUCUCAUAGUCAUAGGAACAUGUAUAAGUCAUGAAGAAAGCAAUAGCAACAUACUAAACGAUCGGGUGCUAAGCUAAUAGAAUGGGUCAUGUCAAUCAGAUCAUUCAACUAAUGAUGUGACCUCGUUAAUCAAAUAACAACUCUUUGUUCAUGGUUAGGAAACAUAACCAUCUUUGAUUAACGAGCUAGUCUAGUAGAGGCAUACUAGUGACACUCUGUUUGUCUAUGUAUUCACACAUGUAUUAUGUUUCCGGUUAAUACAAUUCUAGCAUGAAUAAUAAACUUUUAUCAUGAUAUAAGGAAAUAAAUAAUAACUUUAUUAUUGCCUCUAGGGCAUAUUUCCUUCAGUCUCCCACUUGCACUAGAGUCAAUAAUCUAGUUCACAUCGCCAUGUGAUUUAGCAGCAAUAGUUCACAUCACCAUGUGAUUAACACCCAUAGUUCACAUCGUCAUGUGACCAACACUCAAAGGGUUUACUAGAGUCAGUAAUCUAGUUCACAUAUCUAUGUGAUUAACACCCAAAGAGUACUAAGGUGUGAUCAUGUUUUGCUUGUGAGAUAAUUUUAGUCAACAGGUCUGUCACAUUCAGAUCCGUAAGUAUUUUGCAAAAUUCUAUGUCUAUAAUGCUCUGCACGGAGCUACUCUAGCUAAUUGCUCCCACUUUCAAUAUGUAUACAGAUUGAGACUUAGAAUCAUCUGGAUCAGUGUCAAAGACCUGCAUCUACGUAACCCUUUACGACGAACCUUUUUGUCACGUCCAUAAUCGAGAAACAUAUCCUUAUUUCACUAAGGAUAAUUCUGACCGCUGUCCAGUGAUCUACUCCUAGAUCACUAGUGUACUCCCUUGCCAAAUUAGUGCAGGGUAUACAAUAGAUCUGGUAUACAGCAUGACAUACUUUAUAGAACCUAUGGCCAAGGCAUAGGGAAUGACUUUCAUUCUCUUUCUAUCUUCUGCCGUGGUCGGGCUUUGAGUCAUACUCAACUUCACAAUUUGUAAUACAGGCAAGAACUCUUUCUUUGACUGCUCCAUUUUGAACUACUUCAAAAUCUUGUCAAGGUAUGUACUCAUUGAAAAACUUAUCAAGCGUCUUGAUCUAUCUCUAUAGAUCUUGAAGCUCAAUAUGUAAGCAGCUUCACCGAAGUCUUUCUUUGAAAAACUCCUUUCAAACACUCCUUUAUGCUUUACAGAAUAAUUCUACAUUAUUUCCGAUCAACAAUAUGUCAAUCACAUAUACUUUAUCAGAAAUGCUGUAGUGCUCCCACUCACUUUCUUGUAAAUACAGGCUUCACCGCAAGUCUGUAUAAAACUAUAUGCUUUGAUCAACUCAUCAAAGUGUAUAUUCCAACUCCGAGAUGCUUGCACCAGUCCAUAGAUGGAUCGCUGGAGCUUGCACAUUUUGUUAGCUACAUUUGGAUCGACAAAACCUUCCGGUUGCAUCAUAUACAACUCUUCUUCCAGAAAUCCAUUCAGGAAUGCAGUUUUUACAUCCAUCUGCCAAAUUUCAUAAUCAUAAAAUGCGGCAAUUGCUAACAUGAUUCGGACAGACUUAAGCAUCGCUACGGGUGAGAAAGUCUCAUCAUAGUCAAUCCCUUGAACUUGUCGAAAACCUUUUGCGACAAGUCGAGCUUUGUAGACAGUAACAUUACCAUCAGCGUCAGUCUUCUUCUUAAAGAUCCAUUUAUUCUCAAUUGCUUGCCGAUCAUCGGGCAAGUCAACAAAAGUCCAUACUUUGUUCUCAUACAUGGAUCCCAUCUCAGAUUUCAUGACUUCAAGCCACUUUGCGGAAUCUGGGCUCACCAUCGCUUCUUCAUAGUUCGUAGGUUCAUCAUGAUCUAGUAUCAUGACCUCCAGAAUAGGUUUACCAUACCACUCUGGUGCGGAUCUCACUCUGGUUGAUCUACGAGGUUCAGUAGUAUCUUGAUCUAAAGUUUCAUGAUCAUCAUCAUUAACUUCCUCGCUUAUUGGUAUAGGUUUCGCAGAAACAGUUUUCUGUGAUGUACUACUUUCCAAUAAAGGAGUAGGUACGGUUACCUCGUCAAGUUCUACUUUCCUCCCACUCACUUCUUUCGAGAGAAACUCCUUCUCUAGAAAGGAUCCAUUCUUAGCAACGAAUGUCUUGCUUCGGAUCUGUGAUAGAAGGUGUACCCAACAGUUUCCUUUGGGUAUCCUAUGAAGAGACAUUUCUCCGAUUUGGGUUCGAGCUUAUCAGGUUGAAGCUUUUUCACAUAAGCAUCACAGCCCCAAACUUUAAGAAACGACAACUUUGGUUUCUUGCCAAACCAUAGUUCAUAAGGCGUCGUCUCAACGGAUUUUGAUGGUGCCCUGUUUAACGUGAAUGCGGCCGUCUCUAGAGCGUAUCCCCAAAACGAUAGCGGUAAGUCAGUAAGAGACAUCAUAGAUCGCACCAUAUCUAGUAAAGUACGAUUACGACGUUCGGACACACCAUUACGUUGUGGUGUUCCGGGUGGCGUGAGUUGCGAAACUAUUCCACAAUUUUUCAAAUGUACACCAAACUCGUAACUCAAAUAUUCUCCUCCACGAUCAGAUCGUAGAAACUUUAUUUUCUUGUUACGAUGAUUUUCAACUUCACUCUGAAAUUAUUUGAACUUUUCAAAUGUUUCAGACUUGUGUUUCAUUAAGUAGAUAUACCCAUAUCUGCUUAAAUCAUCUGUGAAGGUGAGAAAAUAACGAUAUCCGCCACGAGCCUCAAUAUUCAUCGGACCACAUACAUCGGUAUGUAUGAUUCCUAACAAAUCUGUUGCUCUCUCCAUAGUACCGGAGAACGGUGUUUUAGUCAUCUUGCCCAAGAGGAACGGUUCGCAAGCAUCAAGUGAUUCAUAAUCAAGUGAUUCCGAAAGCCCAUCAGCAUGGAAUUUCUUCAUGCGCUUUAUACCAAUAUGACCUAAACAGCAGUGCCACAAAUAAGUUGCACUAUCAUUAUUAACUUUGCAUCUUUUGGUUUCAAUAUUAUGAAUAUGUGUAUUAUUAAGAUCGAGAUCCAAUGAACUAUUUUCAUUGGGUGUGUAACCAUAUAAGGUUUUAUUCAUGUAAACAGAACAACAAUUUAUUCUUUUACUUAAAUGAAUAACCGUAUUACAAUAAACAUGAUCAAAUCAUAUUCAUGCUCAACACAAACACCAAAUAACACUUAUUUAGGUUCAACACUAAUCCCGGAAGUAUAGGGGAGUGUGCGGUGAUGAUCAUAUCAAUCUUGGAACUACUUCCAACACACAUCGUCACUUCACCCUUAACUAGUCUCUGUUUAUUCUGCAACUCCCGUUUCGAGUUACUACUCUUAGCAACUGAACUAGCAUUAAAUACUAAGGGGUUGCUAUAAACACUACUAAAGUACAUAUCAAUAACAUGUAUAUCAAAUAUACUUAUGUUCACUUUGCCAUCCUUCUUAUCCGCCAAUCACUUGGGGUAGUUCCGCUUCCAGUGACCAGUCCCUUUGCAGUAGAAGCACUUAGUCUCAGGCUUAGGAUCAGACUUGGGCUUCUUCACUUGAGCAGCAACUUGCUUGCCAUUCUUCUUGAAGUUCCCCUUCUUCCCUUUUCCCUUUUCUUGAAACUAGUGGUCUUGUCAACCAUCAACACUUGAUGUUUUUCUUGAUUUCUACCUUCGUUGAUUUCAGCAUUACGAAGAGCUUGGGAGUUGUUUCCGUUAUCCCUUGCAUAUUAUAGUUCAUCACGAAGUUCUUCUAACUUGGUGAUGGUGACUAGAGAAUUCUGUCAAUCACUAUCUUAUCUGGAAGAUUAACUCCCACUUGAUUCAAGCGAUUGUAGUACCCAGACAAUCUGAGCACAUGCUCACUAGUUGAGCGAUUCUCCUCCAUCUUUUAGCUAUAGAACUUUGUUGGAGACUUCAUAUCUCUCAACUCGGGUAUUUGUUUGAAAUAUUAACUUCAACUCCUGGAACAUCUCAUAUGGUCCAUGACGUUCAAAACGUCUUUGAAGUCCCGAUUCUAAGCCAUUAAGCAUGGUGCACUAAACUAUCAAGUAGUCAUCAUAUUGAGCUAGCCAAACAUUCAUAACGUCUGCAUCUGCUCCUGCAAUAGGUCUGUCACCUAGCGGUGCAUCAAGGACAUAAUUUUUCUGUGCAGCAAUGAGGAUAAACCUCAGAUCACAGAUCCAAUCCGCAUCAUUGCUACUAACAUCUUUCAACACAAUUUUCUCUAGGAACAUAUCAAAAUAAACACAGGGAAGCAACAACACGAGCUAUUGAUCUACAACAUGAUUUGCAAAAUACUACCAGGACUAAGUUCAUGAUAAAUUUAAGUUCAAUUUAAUCAUAUUACUUAAGAACUCCCACUUAGAUAGAUAUCCCUCUAAUCCUCUAAGUGAUCACGUGAUCCAAAUCAACUAAACCAUAACCGAUCAUCACGUGAGAUGGAUUAGUUUUCAAUGGUGAACAUCGUUAUGUUGAUCAUAUCUACUAUAUGAUUCACGCUCGACCUUUCGGUCUCCGUGUUCCGAGGCCGUAUCUGUAUAUGCUUGGCUCGUCAAGUAUAACCCGAGUAUUCCGCAUGUGCAACUGUUUUGCACCCGUUGUAUUUGAACGUAGAACCUAUCACACCCGAUCAUCACAUGGUGUCUCAGCACGAAGAACUUUCGCAACGGUGCAUACUCAGGGAGAACACUUCUUGAUAAUUUAGUGAGAGAUCAUCUUAUAAUGCUACCGUCAAUCAAAGCAAGAUAAGAUGCAUAAAAAAGAUAAACAUCACAUGCAAUCAAUAUAAGUGAUAUGAUAUGGCCAUCAUCAUCUUGUGCUUGUGAUCUCCAUCUCCGAAGCACCGUCAUGAUCACCAUCGUCACCAGCGCGACACCUUGAUCUCCAUCGUAGCAUCGUUGUUGUCUCGCCAAUCUUAUGCUUCCACGACUAUCACUACCGCUUAGUAAUAAAGUAAAGCAUUACAUCGCGAUUGCAUUGCAUACAAUAAAGCGACAACCAUAUGGCUCCUGCCAGUUGCCGAUAACUCGGUUACAAAACAUGAUCAUCUCAUACAAUAAAAUUUAGCAUCAUGCCUUGACCAUAUCACAUCACAACAUGCCCUGCAAAAACAAGUUAGACGUCCUCUACUUUGUUGUUGCAAGUUUUACGUGGCUGCUACGGGCUUAAGCAAGAACUCAUCUUACCUACGCAUCACAACCACAAUGAUAGUUUGUCAAAUAGACUCCAUUUUAACCUUCUCAAGGACCGGGCAUAGCCACACUCGGUUCAACUAAAGUUGGAGAGACAGUCGCCCGCAAGCCAUCUAUGUGCAAAGCAUGUCGAGGGAACCGAUCUCGCGUAAGCGUACGCGUAAGGUUGGUCCGGGUCGUCUCGUCCAACAAUACCGCCGAACCAAAGUAUGACAUGCUGGUAGGCAGUAUGACUUGUAUCGCCCACAACUCACUUGUGUUCUACUCGUGCAAAUAACAUCAAACCAUAAAACCUGGCUCUGAUACCACUGUUGGGGAACAUAGUAAUUUCAAAAAAUUUCCUACGCACACGCAAGAUCAUGGUGAUGCAUAGCAACGAGGGGAGAGUAUGAUCUACGUACCCUUGUAGAUCGCAACGGAAGCGUUUGACACAACGUAGAGGAAGUAGUCGUACGUCUUCUUCCCGAUCGGCCGAUCCACGCACCGUUACUCCGGCACCUCCGAGUUCUUAGCACACGUUCAGCUCGAUGACGAUCCUCGGGCUCCGAUCCAGCAAAGCGUCGAGGAAGAGUUCUGUCAGCACGACGGCGUGGUGACGAUUUUGAUGUACUACCGACGCAGGGCUUCGCCUAAGCACUGCAAUAAUAUGAUCGAGGUGGAAUUUGGUGGCAGGGGGCACCGCACACGGCUAAGGAAAGAUCUCAAUGAUCAAUUGUGUGUCUAGAGGUGCCCCCUGCCCCCGUAUAUAAAGGAUGAGAGGGGGAGGGCUGGCCGGCCAAGAGGAGGGAGGCGCAGGAGGAGUCCUACUCCUACCGGGAGUAGGACUCCCCCCUCCAAUCCUAGUCCAACUAGGUUUCUCAAGUGGGAAAGAGAGAGAAGGGGCCGGCCACCUUCUCCUAGUCCUAAUAGGACUAGAGAGAGGGGGAGGCGCGCAGCCCUAUGUGGGCAGCCCUUUCACCUUUCCACUAAGGCCCAUGUUGGCCCAUUUGGCUCCCGGGGGGUUCCGGUAACCCUCCCGGUAAUCCGGUAAAAUCCCGAUUUCACCCGGAACACUUCCGAUGUCCUAACAUAGGCUUCCAAUAUAUCAAUCUUUACGUCUUGACCAUUUCGAGACUCCUCAUCAUGUCCGUGAUCACAUCCGGGACUCCGAACAACCUUCGGUACAUCAAAACUCAUAAACUCAUAAUAUAACUGUCAUCGAAACCUUAAGCGUGCGGACCCUACGGUUCGAGAACAAUGUAGACAUGACCGAGACACGUCUCCGGUCAAUAACCAAUAGCGGGACCUGGAUGCCCAUAUUGGCUCCUACACAUUCUACGAAGAUCUUUAUCGGUCAGACCGCAUAACAACAUACGUUGUUCCCUUUGUCAUCGGUAUGUUACUUGCCCGAGAUUCGAUCGUCGGUAUCCAAUACCUAGUUCAAUCUCGUUACCGGCAAGUCUCUUUACUCGUUCUGUAAUACAUCAUCCCGCAACUAACUUAUUAGUUGCAAUGCUUGCAAGGCUUAAGUGAUGUGCAUUACCGAGAGGGCCCAGAGAUACCUCUCCGACAAUCGGAGUGACAAAUCCUAAUCUCGAAAUACGCCAACCCAACAUCUACCUUUGGAGACACCUGUAAUGCUCCUUUAUAAUCACCCAGUUACGUUGUGACGUUUGGUAGCACCCAAAGUGUUCCUCCGGCAAACGGGAGUUGCAUAAUCUCAUAGUCAUAGGAACAUGUAUAAGUCAUGAAGAAAGCAAUAGCAACAUACUAAACGAUCGGGUGCUAAGCUAAUAGAAUGGGUCAUGUCAAUCAGAUCAUUCAACUAAUGAUGUGACCUCGUUAAUCAAAUAACAACUCUUUGUUCAUGGUUAGGAAACAUAACCAUCUUUGAUUAACGAGCUAGUCUAGUAGAGGCAUACUAGUGACACUCUGUUUGUCUAUGUAUUCACACAUGUAUUAUGUUUCCGGUUAAUACAAUUCUAGCAUGAAUAAUAAACUUUUAUCAUGAUAUAAGGAAAUAAAUAAUAACUUUAUUAUUGCCUCUAGGGCAUAUUUCCUUCACUCCUUCCUUCAGCUUCUGUUCCCCCUCCUCCCAUUCGCCAUGGAGAAAGGGAACCCUGGGCCUUCAUCGGUGGCGGCGAGGGUCGCCGGGAGACAGCGCAUCCCUCCCUCUUCCGCGCUCGUGGAGGCAGAGCCGGACGGAGUGGGAAGAGGAAGGGGGUGAGGUCGUGGACGAGGACGUGGGCGAGGUCGAGGCGCUCGGGGAAGAGGUGGACGGGGCGACGCGCCGGCUUCGCCUCCGCCGGCGGUCCCUCCUCGCGCGGCGGUCCAUAUCGGGGAGGACCCUUGCGAGUUCCUCGUCAGGCUGCGCCGGGCGCCUCGUCGUCGCCUCCGACUCCCAGCUCCGUUCGCGGGUGUGAUGGAGUUGGACCCGCCCGAGACGCUGAGAUUACACAUGAGGGGCUGUGGAAUCAACGGCACGCGAGUCCGCGUUGAAUUCCCAGCCCCUAAUGUGAUGUAUCUUGCCCGAGGGUGGAAGACGUUCGCCCGUAUCCACAGCCUGAUGGAAGGGUUCACCCUCCAUUUCAAGUUGAUGGAGGGCGACCUUCUCUCCGUCAAGGUCUUCGGGCGCUUCAGCGCUCGGGCAAAAUGCUGCGAGGACAGCUCCUCCGACAGCGCAGGCUCCUCCUCGAGCGAGAGUGACGAGGAGGAGAGCGCCAGUGACGACGAAGGAGGCGGGCGGCGGGACGACGGGUCCGACUAGGUGUCGGGCGUCGCUUCGCGCGGCACCGGCGACCCCAUCAUCCGCGUCGCCGGCCCCUUGGACUCCCCGAGGUCGUCUCCUUGGGCGGCUGGCGUAGGGAGGCUGCGGAAGAGGAAGAGGGCUGGCGGCAAGGUCGUCAAGUCGGAGUACGAGGGCGUGGUGCCCUCGACAGCGUGCUGACGUCCUGCCGCCUCGUCUUCGAGCCCUGCUUCCAGCGCCGCCAUCACCGUCAAGCCCUCGGUCGGGCCCCGGGCUGUUCUCUUGGUGCCUUCUGGCUCCCGUAGUUCGCCUUGGCGCCCCUUUUGUCCAUUUCUCCUCCUCGACCUACCUCCUGAAGAGGGGGACAGGAAAAAGGAUUACGGGCACCUUAUCUUUUCAAUUUGUAAGCCUUCGGGCCUUAGCUGCAUUUAAAGCUUGUAAUCCUCUCUUUCAUGUUUUUCGUUCUCUUUGGACUGUACCUGAGUGGAAUGUUUUUAAUGGAAAGGGGAUGUUUGCUGGGUCAUUUGUCUCGCGGGUAGAACCCACGCCAAGGAGCAAAUCCUUGGUAUCUUCCAGAUAGACACUCUCUUCCCGGCAACAUGCCCUGCCGCCUUCCCGCGCGGCUCGACCCUUCUCACGCUCUUGACGGAGGCAGGGACGAGGCGGGUGCGGCCCCUCGUUUCAUCCCUUUCCUGCCGCGACUACGACCAAAACUUGGCCCUGGGGCCCCAGGGACCAGAGCUAAGGGAGCACGGUGGCUUUCGGGAAGAAACGAGGCUUUGCAUUCCUAGUCCAAAAGAGAAUGCAUGAAGAGGGAUGGAAAACUUAUCUGAGAUAGCAGCCCCCGGCAACUCUGACUUGCCGCGGGCGAAACUUGGUACUUGCAGCCCCCGGCAACACUGGCUUGCCGGAGUACUGAUGCCGGUGCGCCCUUCCUCUCCUUCUCGUCCUCAAGCGGUCUGGCCAGGAUAUGCGAGCCCUGCGAACCAAAGGAAACGAAAGAGAGACAAAGGGACGCACACUCGACCUCUAAGUUAGGGGUUAGCUGCUGUUAGACACUAUCAACCCUAACCAAGUACGAGACUUAACCUAGCAUGCAUGCUUAUAACCCCGGGGUGUGGCAGCGCUUCAUAUCUGGUGCUCAGGGUCUGCGCCUGGCUCUGUACAAAGGAUUACAUGCAACAGCGGCAAGACUUGUACAGAAAGGUGGUUGCCGGACGGGUUCCGACAACCGCGCCUUACUGGUAAAACUUGCGAAGAUGCUCGAUGUUCCAGGAGUUGCUCACUGGAAUGCCAUCUUCGGUCUCCAGGCGGACAGCGCCAGGCCUGGUGACUCGUUUCACCCGGUAAGGGCCUUCCCACUUCGGCGUCAACUUGUUGGAAUUCUUGGCCGACUGAACACGCCGAAGAACAAGGUCGCCUUCCUCGAAGCUUCUGGCGUUAACUUUGCGGCUAUGGUAGCGGCGCAAAGCUUGCUAGUAGCGAGCGGCUCGCACAACAGCCUGAAGACGAUCUUCCUCAAGGAGCAGCGCGUCAUCUUGCCGCAGCCGCUCUUGCUCAAGCUCAUCGUAAGCGAGCACUCGAGGUGACCCGUAUACGAGUUCCGUGGGGAUAACUGCUUCUGCUCCAUAGACUAGAGCAAAAGGUGUCUGGCCAGUGGCUCGAUUUGGCGUCGUUCUGAUCGACCAAAGAGCCACCGGUAGCUCCUCGAUCCAGUUUCUUCCGCACUUAUUCAGCUUGUUGAAAGUUCUGGUCUUGAGCCCGCACAGCACUUCAGCGUUUGCCCUUUCCGCUUGACCGUUGCUCCUUGGGUGAGCAACAGAAGCGAAGCAGACCUUGGCGCCGAGAUCUUGGACGUACUGCAUGAAGGUGUGGCUCGUAAACUGUGUGCCGUUGUCGGUGAUGAUUCGGUUAGGGACACCAAAGCGGCAAACAAUUGACCUGAAGAACUUGACUGCUGACUGUGCGGUCACCUUCCUCACUGGUUCCACUUCCGGCCACUUUUUGAACUUGUCGAUUGCAACGUACAAGUACUCAAAGCCCCCGAUCGCUCGGGGGAAGGGGCCGAGGAUGUCGAGCCCCCAGACCGAAAAUGGCCAUUAUAAAGGGAUCGUCUGGAGAGCUUGAGCUGGCUGGUGUAUCUGCUUGGAAUGGAACUAGCACGCUUCACACUUGGUUACUUGUGCAGUUGCAUCCUGGAGGGCUGUCGGCCAGAAGAAGCCUUGCCGGAACGCUUUGCCGACGAGUGCUCUUGCGCCAAUGUGGUGGCCACAUAUGCCUCCGUGUAUCUCUGCCAACAGCUUCUGUCCGUCUUCCCGGGGAAUACACUUCAAUUUCACACCGUUGAGUCUUCUUCUGUACAGUUUGUUGUCGACAAACUGGUACAUACUUGACUGCCGGGCUACUCUUUCCGCUUCUUCUUGCUCUUCGGGAAGCUCUCCUGUCUGAAGGAAACGGACGAUCGGCUGUGCCCAUGUUGGAGCCUGUGGCUCGACAACAAGGACUAAAGGCAUAUCUGCUGCUGCGGGAACAUCCGCUUCUACGGCGAGCGCCUACGGCUCAGCCAGAGCUUGAUGUUCCCCGACAAGCUUGCCGGAGCAAAACUUGUCGGGAGCUUCUGCUCGAACGGAACAAGGCCUGGGAUUUGCCGGAGCAGGACGUUCCCCGGGAAGUUUGCCGGAGCAAAACUUGUCGGGAGCCUCUGCUCGAACGGAACGAUACCCAGGGCCUGCCGGAGCAGACUGCUCCUCAGCGCUCUUGGCGUUGAUCUUGGGGACCUUCUUGGCGGCGGCUUCAGGAAGCUCUGCCGGAAGAUAGUCGCCAGAAACCAACUUCCUUUUCUUGCUCUGCCCAGUUGACGGUGUCACGGACGGCUGAGUCAGCUUGAGCACAAAGGUCCCUGGUUCCACAGGUAACUUAAGUGCGGCGCACUUUGACAGGCCAUCGGCAACGUCGUUCUUGGCUCUCGGAACAUGUUCCAUUUGCAGGCCGUCAAAGUGCUCUUCCAGCUUCCUCACUUCGUCGACGUAAGCUUCCAUCAACGGGCUCUGAUAAUCCUUGUUCACUUGGCGGACGACAAGCUGUGAGUCACCCCUGACAAUGAGCUUCUUAAUCCCAAGGUCUGCUGCGAUCCUGAGACCGGCAAGCAAGCCCUCAUACUCUGCAGUAUUGUUCAUUGCUUGCUCCCUGGGAAAGUGCAUCUGGACUGCGUACUUGAGGUGCUCUCCGGUGGGUGCGACAAGCAGCGCACCAGCGCCGGCGCCUUGCAGCAAAAAGGCACCAUCAAAGUACAACAGCCACUCCUUGUCUGCUUCCUUGGCGGGGAUGCUCAUCUCUGGGGUUUCCUCAUCCGGUGUUGGCGUCCACUCUGCUAUGAACUCUGCCAAUGCUCUGCUCUGGAUAGUUGAAGUGCUUUCAAACUAGAGACCAAAGCUUGACAGUUCCAGUGCCCACUCGACAAUCCUGCCGGUUGCUUUGGGAUUCUGCAGUAUCCUCUUCAGCGGAAAGCGAGUGACAACUGUGAUCUCGUGUGCUUGGAAGUAAUGGCGCAGCUUUCUCGAGGCCAUGAGGAGGCCGAAAAGCAAUUUCUGCACACCAGAGUACCUUGAUCUAGCCCCCUGCAGAAGGGAGCUGACAAAGUAAACUGGGUGCUGCACCAUUUUCUUCCGUACACCUUCGUGCAUCUGCGCAGGUCCAUCCUUGUCGGGGCCAGAGCUUGUCAGGGGACCCCCCUGCUUGUCGCCAGACGGGCUUGCCGGGGUUGCUGGCUCAUCAUCUGCCCCCCUCUCCGCAACUAACGCAGCACUAACCACUUGAUUGGUUGCUGCUGAAUACAGCAGCAACUUCUCUUGUGGCUUAGGUGCGACAAGUGUUGGAGCGGAGGACAGGUAUUUCUUCAGGUCCUGGAGCGCAGCCUCCGCUUCCGGAGUCCACUGCAUCGGACCUGCCUUUUUCAAUAUCUUGAAAAAUGGCAGGGCGCGCUCGGCAGACCAAGAAAUGAACCUGCUGAGAGCAGCCACGCAACCGGCAAGUCUUCGAACAUCCUUGACGCGUCUUGGUGCUUCAAUCUGCUCGAUGGCCCUGAUCUUGUCGGGAUUGGCUUCAAUUCCCCGCUGAGACACAAAGAACCCGAGAAGCUUGCCGGAAGGAACUCCAAACACACACUUCUCAGGGUUCAGCUUGAGGUUGAUCUUGCUUAGAUUCACAAAGGUCUCAUCUAAAUCUUGAAUCAGAGUUGCCCUGUCCUUGCUCUUGACCACUAUAUCGUCCAUAUAGGCUUCCACAUUUCUGUGUAUUUGAGGCUCAAAAGCAAUAUGGACAACUCUUGCAAAUGUUGAACUAGCAUUCUUUAGACCGAAAGGCAUCCGCACGAAACAGUACGUGCCACAUGGUGUAAUGAAUGCGGUCUUCUCUUCAUCUUCUUCUGCCAUGAAGAUCUGAUGAUAUCCGGAGUACGCAUCAAGAAAUGAAAGCAAAUCACAUCCGGCUGUGGAGUCAACAAUCUGGUCGAUGCGUGGCAAGGGAAAUGGGUCCUUGGGGCAAGCUUUAUUGACAUCGGUAAAGUCAAUACAAAGCCUCCAUUUCCCGUUUGCCUUGCGCACAACUACCGGAUUGGCCAACCACGUAGGAUGGAGCACUCGUCUGACGAGGCCUGCCGCUUCCAACUUCUUGAUCUCUUCUGCUAUGAAUUCUUGGCGCUCCACCGCCUGCUUCUUGACUUUCUGCUUGACGGGCCGCGCAUGAGGACAAACGGCAAGGUGGUGCUCAAUUACUUUCCUGGGAACACCAGGGAUGUCAGACGGCUGCCAUGCAAACACGUCGACAUUCGCCCGCAGGAAAGCAACGAGUGCGCUUUCCUAUUUAGGGUCAAGCGUGGCACUGAUGGUGAAGGUACCACCAGUGUCGUCCUCCUUGGCGUACACCUUCUUGGUCUCUUGCGGAGCCGCCAUCGUCUUCUUGUACUUGCCGGGCUUGGUCUUGCACUUGCCGGUGGAGCUCGAUGGCGUGUCCUCAACGGCAGCGCAGCACUCCGAAGAGGUGCGCUUGCCGGAGUGGGCGCCAGAGCACUCGGAGGACUUGGUCUUGCGCUUGCCGGCGGAGCUCGAUGGCGCGUCCUCGACGGCAGCGCAGCACUCCGAAGAGGUGCGCUUGCCGGAGUGGGCGCCAGAGUACUUGCCGGACUUGGCCUUCUCCUUUCCCCCGGGAGCUUCAGCGGCAAGCGAUUCUGCUGCGGCUGCUGCCUCCCGGUAGAUUUUGUCGGCACAGAUAAGAGCAUCUUGCUUGUCGCCAGGGACAGAGAUGACACUUAUCGGGCCGGGCAUCUUGAGCACGUUGUAGGCGUAAUGAGAGGCCGCCAUGAACUUGGCGAGUGCCGGACGGCCAAGUAUCCCAUUGUAAGGCAAUGGUCGAUCGGCAACGUCGAAAGUCACCCUCUCAGUCCUGAAGUUUAGCUCGUUGCCGAAUGUCACCGGCAGCGUGAUCUUCCCCUUCGGCUUGGUUCUUCCCGGACUGAUUCCUUGGAACGUACCGGUCUCUUCAAGCACGCUGUCGGGAAUCUGGAGCUUCUGGAAUACAGCGGAGGAGAUCAGGUUCAAGCCGGCCCCGCCGUCAACCAACAUCUUGGUGACCUUGAGGUUGCGGAUAGUUGGCGAAACCAACAUCGGCAAGCACCCGACCGCAGUUGUGCGAUCAGGGUGGUCCUCAACAUCAAAGAUGAUAGGCGUGCUGGACCAUUUCAGGAGCUUGCGCGACUCAACAGGUGGUUCUGCUGCAUUGACUUCUCGCGCCCAUUGCUUGAGUUGGUGGUGUGAAGUAUGCAGAGAAGCACCACUGUCAACGCACAAAACCUCCUUGGUUUCUGAAACUCCUACUCACUGUUCUCGGCAUCAUCCAUGUCUUCGUCGCUGUCGUCAUCGUCUUCCUUGUCGCGACCGCGGGGAGGUCUGUCUCCUUGCCGCUGCUUGACCUUGUCGCGGCGCCCCCCCCCCCCUGGCCGGUGCGCUUCUGGCCGGAUCCCCCAGCACCUACCUGGGCCCUUUCCUUGUCUCGCCGCUCGUACUCAGCCCUCUGUUGCUGGACGAGCUGCUCGACCUUCUUGCAGCUCUGGAGGUCAUGGCCCUUGGUACGGUGAAUCUUGCAGUAUUGCUUGCCGGAGCUGCCCUGCUUGUCGGCGGCGGCCACGGCCUGGCAGUUGGAGCAUGCGGCAACCUCCUUGCCGGAGCUACCAACUUUGGCCUUCUUGGCGCCACCGUGGCUGCUGGACUGCUCAAUGACUAGCGCCUCCUUGUUCUGCUUCUUCCUGUUGUUGCGCCGCCGGUUCUUCUUUGCCGGGGCGGCAUCUUCGCUGUCAGAUCCUCCUGCCCCAGUACUCUCUCCAGGAAAUUUCCUUCCUUCCUCAGCGCAUGCACACUUGUCGGCCAGGGCAUAUAGCUCGCUGACGUCUCGGAUCUUGCACAUCACCAUCUCUUCCCGCAUCCUGCGGUUCCGCACGUUCUGAUGGAACGCGCUGAUCACCGCGGCAGGGUGGAUAUUUGGGAUGUUGUGCUAUACACGGCUGAACCUCUGGAUGUACUGGCGCAGGGGCUCCCCUACCUUCUGGACGAGCAGGUGAAGGUCACUCUCUUGGCCAUGCGGUUUGUGGCCGCCUGUGAAGGCGCCCACAAACUGAUGGCACAGGUCUGCCCAGGAGGAUACGGAGUUGUCCGGCAAGUGCAUGAGCCAGGAUCUGACGUUGGGCUUGAGCACCAGCGGGAAAUAGUUGGCAAGGAUCUUGUCGUCGCGUCCCCCAGCAGCCUGCACCCCGAUGGUGUAGAUGCUGAGGAACUCCGACGGAUGCGACUUGCCAUCGUACUUCUCCGGCACAUCUGGCUUGAAGUUUUUCGUGUUGGGCCACUGGACUUGCCGCAGCUCAGGAGUAAACGCAGGGCAACCCACCGCGUACGGCAGGUUGUCCGGUUUCUCCGGCGCGUGCAUGUCAACAGAGGGCCCAGCGCGCAGGUCUGACUGACGUCGCGCUUCUCUUCGACGCUCGAUGCGAGUGCGAGCGUCUUCUUGUCGCCGUUCGUAAAGAACUUGGCGUUGAUCGCGACGAGCUUGCGGAUCUGACGACGCGGUGGAGUCGCUGUCGAUGUGGAUCCGGCGAGCCGGCGACCUCGGCCUUCGGGGUGGGGAGUGCACGGUGGUCGCACCCUCCCCAGUCUGGUUGCCACUGGCUCGCGCCUGGCUGACUUGCCGUGGCAGCGAUGCGCUCAGCUGCCGUGGGUUGUCGCCGUUGGCGAAGCCGAUGAGGCUCUGAAUGGUGGCCCUCCAGUCGUCGACUUUGUCCGCCGCUGGAGGGAAAUCGAGGAGCAGUUGAGCUCGCGCCAGAGCUUCCGCUGGGGUGGCGGGCGGCGGCGGCGAACGAUGCGACGAGCGGGAUAUGCUCGGACUUCUAACUAGGUUAGAAGGAGCAGUAUCUCGUCCAAGCGACCGUGCCUCGCUCAGGCCAGCGUGCUGGUGUGCAUGCUGGUCUUGAGCCCUCCGAGAUCCACUAGCUUGGUCUUGAUCCAGCGAACGCAUGGUACCGUGAGUACCAUGGCGCUGCUGGUCCCGCGCCUCCUGGGACGAGCGCGGCCCGUGUACUGACGCCGAAGUCUUGGAGUGCGCCCGGUCGUUGCGGGAGUCGGCCACGCCGUCGAUGGGCGGCGCGGCCUGGCCCUUGGACCUGGCGGCGCCGUGAGUUCCGUCGUCGACUUCCGGUCUUCUGCCGGCGUCUCCCCCACCGGCCGUCUGCUCCGGCGGCGGUGGGUUUGGCGUGGACAGCGCGGCCGCCUCCGAGGCUUUCUUCUUCGGCGGCAUGUCGGAGAAGACGAUGAAGAUCUAGCUCGCAAGAACGCUGGAUCAGGUUCACACAACCUCGAUGCCCCCUACCUGGCGCGCCAGAGAUGUCGGGGGAUUUGGCUGUCCCUCGAGCACCUAUGGGACCACGGCGGACCGGAGCCCCUUUUUGGUUCGGCGGGGGCGAUGGUUGCACAAAGAGCAGAUCGAGGCGAGACACGCGAGCGAUUUUACCCAGGUUCGGGCCACACGGAUGCGUAAAACCCUACUCCUGCUUUGUGGAUUGUAUUGUGUUCUUGCUCGGGAGCGUAGAGUGCUAUAGUACACUCCAGCAGCUAGCGAGGCCGAGCGUGAAUGAGUGUCUAGUGGGGGGAGAACCCUUUCUACGUUGCACUUGGGCCUCCUUUUAUAUGCUCAAGGGGUCACCGACACGUGGCAAUGUAGACAGAAGGGCAAAAACGGGAGAGUGGUGGUUGGUACAACUACCUGUACAGUGGUAUCAUACCUAACCCUGACGGCAGGGGACAAGGGCAUUAAUUGCCCGUCUAUGUCGCCUAAACAGUACAGAAAGGGACCGUUUGGGACGCCAGCGUUUGCCAUGAUGGCUGCCUCGUCAGUGCAUGCUUGCCACCACGUACCCCUAGCUGCACAGCCUCCCUGCCACGUGUGCUUGGGAGAGGGUCCCAGAGCGGCACGUGGUGGGCGAGCUGGAUCGCGGGCACGAAGUGCGGGCUUGCCGCGGCGAGCGCCUUGCCGCGGUUGUUGUCUUGCCGCGUCCGGGAGCUUGUCGCUCACCGGGCCUUGCCGGGACGCGUGGCGUGUCGCGGCAAAUCUCCUUGAUAUGCCUUGGUUGGCCUUCCUGGCAAGCUCCUCUUGCCAGGGUCUUGCAUGCCUCGAUAGGCCUUCCCGGCAAGCUCCUCUUGCCAGGGUCUGGUUUUCUUCCCGGCAAGCUCAUCUUGCCGGGGCCUUGGUCUAGACUUGAAUGGCUCUAAAAUAGCCAUGGAGAGUCUUGGCGGUUACCCGGCAAGCCUUGCUGCGGGUCGCUGCGACUGCCCGUGCACAAGUUCGGGGUACUAAGGUACCCCUACUUUAGUACACCGACACAAGUUUAGUUCACUUAGUUGUAUUCCUCUGGUUAAUUUUGCUUCCUUGCUUUCCUCUUGGCCUUACGACCUAACUAUUUAUACUAUCUAUAGGGCAUGGACAUUAUAAGAUCCUGAAAACGAUAGAAACCAAAACACACACCAUCUUCACAACAUUCUUUUCCUUCUCUCAGCAAAAUCACCGACAUUCUCCCAUUAUACCAUGGAGGCCUGGAGGAAGACAUCCAUGUGUUGUUUGAUUCUUUUCUGCCUUAUGGCUACAAGUAGUAAGUAUAAUUAUCCAUAGUAUCAACAUUUCGCCAAAGUUUCAUGUUGUGCAAUGACAUAUCAACAUUGUUGGACGCAUUCAUUCAUAUUACUUCUCCUAACCUUGUCUAUUUAUACAUAGGUGAGAUUUCAUCUACUGGAAACAUGUGCUAUCACAACCAUUGGGAUAAAUGUCAUCCUGAUCAAAAUGGAAUGUGUCGAGAUAGUUGUGUGGAAGACGGAUGGGAUGAUGGACAAUGCCGGAACCGGUUUAAAAGACUAAUGGGUGCCAAGUGCGAAUGCUACCCUAAGUCUUGCGAUCAUUAGGGAGGCAACAUGCGACUUUCUUCUACCAAGUUACUACUAUUUAUAAAUUUACAUCAGUUUUAAUGAUUGACCUCAAACAUGUUGUAACACCAAUCAUGGUGAAUACUAUAUCACCUUCUAUUUAUUUCUUUAUUCCAGACCAUUGUAUUCAAAAUUAUGAUGUUACACAAUUAUACCUAAUUACUAUU
rnacentral:lncRNA from 1 species